CAUGGGCACAAACCUAGUUCAAAGGAAAAGAAAACUAACUUGACCCUCUAAUGUUUAACAGUUCAUUUUGUUAGAUGAUAACUCGAGCUAACAUAAAUACCAUUUCAUUGGUCUGUGUGAUUAUUGUAUUUGUUUGAUGAUUCCAGAGAAUAUGAGAGUCUCGAAUCAACUGCAUUCGGAAUGCGACAUCCCGUUGGAUGAUAUCACUAACUCAAUCAUGCAUGUGGACUUCUCGGAUGUCAAACCAGCUCAGGAGGCAGAAGCCUGCACUCCAGUUUUCACAGGAUUAGGGCUUGUAAAAUUUCGAGAAUUGUACUCCUAGAUAUCUUGUCAGAUCAUUUUCUUGAUUUGUUGUAAUUUUUUCAAUCUUUUUCUAACCUGCCUUUUUUAUUCUCCUAGAAAAGACCUUACCUUUUUAAGUAAGCAGAUGAUUGUUUGUAGGGCAACAAUCAAACCGAUGUUUUACCCAAGGGCAGUAAGGUGGGGGAGAUCUAGGCAAAUGGGCAUGCUACUAGUAGCCUCUCCCAGUCUCCCCAAUUAUAGUUAUGUUGAUGACAUCUUCCAGCUCUCGUUGUCUUGUGCUUGACGCGUGUGUUCUGUGCGUGUAAUGCUCGGUGUGAGGGACUUUGGGUUCAUGACCUGAGCAUGUCCAUAAGGUCGUUGAUUUUGCUCAUGCGGUGUGCGUCUCAAAUUAAAGCACCUGGCAAUCAAUUAUGAAUGCAGGAGGCAGGUUUAUGCUGUUGCUUCGAUGUCCGUUAAGGUGUUCAAGCACGCUUGAGUGAGAAUUCUGUGGUGAUGUACCUGUUAAAAUGCCUUUUUCCUAGGUACUUGUUCAAUACUUCCUUUUGCUGUAAGUUGCCUUGCAUGCUGAAUGUUGCUACAAUGGCACUGAAUUCUAGACCUGUUUGGAGACAGGGACUCAAAUUUAGUCCUGUCACGUCGAGUGUUUAGAUAAGUAUUAAAUAUAGGUUAAUUAUAAAACUAAUUGCAUAAAUGAAGGUUAAUUUGCGAGAUGAAUCUAUUAAACCUAAUUAGUCCAUGAUUUGAUCAUGUGAUGCUAUAGUAAAUAUGUGCUAAUCAUGUAUUAAUUAGGCUUAAUAUAUUUAUCUCGUGAAUUAGCCACGGCUUAUGCAAUUAAUUUUAUAAUUAGUUCCCAUUUAAUCCUUCUAAUUGGUAUCAAACAUCUAAUGUGACCCAAAACAAUGCUGAAAGAAGCUCAUUUUGCUGGAUGAUAGCGAGGUAACAAAUGUACCAUUUCAUUCAACUUUUGGAUUAUUACAUUGCUUUGAUGAUUCUGGGCACAUCAUAAUCUCGAUGUGCAUUACUGCAGUGGAUGAAAUCACCAGCUCAAUAAUGCAGGACUUGUAGGAUAUGAACAACAUCAUAAUCAAUGCUUGCUGCCGUGUGCUCGAUGCGAGUGCCCCCACAGCAUUACCGUUGCGUUCAUGGAUGCGCUUCUUAUGCUUCCUAGUAGACAGACUAGUACUCCGUAGUAGUAAUCUUCCUCCUUUUUGAAACGAAACAAGAUAGUUAUUUUCGGACUGCGAAUUUUCAAGCACGUUAGAUACAGUCAGAAUAUGUGAUGAUAUGGUAGGAUAAUUAUGAAGAGAGAUGAAAGAAGUUUCGUCUUGAUGGAACUGACUGUUUUCAAAACUAUGAAACCUGAUGAAAAUGGUAUCUGACCAUAUCUAAUCACAUGCCUUCCAAUUAAAUGGUAUGAUCAGUUUAUGAAAUCGUGAAAUGAAAUUUUUCAUUGGCUUAAAUCUUUGGUGACAUAUCCACGAGAUGAAACUUCCCGUUAAGAAUAACGUAAUGAAAAAUCGUAGUAUUUAUCAGUUCAUGGCGCAGGCUUGGUUCGUUCAUGGCGGGAAAGGGAAAAAGGGUGGCUAGCUGUGUGUGAAUGGCAGGGCAGCGAGGCACCCGCCAUGGGAUUUCGAAGGUUCGGAUUCGUGCGCCAACCUUCCCACCAGCCCGAAACAAACAACAUUCCCAUGCGGCCACGGCCAGGCCCCCCCAACUUUUCCGCUUUCCAAAGCUACCCUUCCCACCCGCGCAUUUACGCAGCUGAUCGGUCAGGGGCACCCCCGUCCGCCCGAAUAAACAACGCAUAAAAAGCAAGGAAGCUGCUGACUGCUGCAGGCCUCUCUUCCCCUGAAAAGCAAAGAAAAUAGCAGCAGCAGCAGCAACAGGCAGGCAGGUCCCUGUCCCUUUCCAUCCAUCCCACAUUCCUAUUCCUUCCCCCGAAUCCGUCCCCAAUCCGCCGCCCGCGCGAUCGACAGAAUGGUAAGCAAGCACUCCGCGCUCCCGGGAUUCCUUCUCGCUCGAUUCCUUCUUCUUGGUUCGCUCUGCGUCCGCGAUGGUUGGUUUAAUGUUUCGUUCUCGGGAGGAGUGGUUGUUGGGUUUGGUGAAUUGUUUCUUCUUGGAAGGCAACGAGGGACGGACGAAAAGACAGCCUUGCUUCGCUUUGCUGCGGGAAAAAGGCGCGCGCGGCCGCCUUGUUCCCCGUCUUCUCUCCGUCCCAAUUCCUCCCUCCGACGAUUUCUCCCCAUCCCCAUCGGCGGCGGGCGGCAGGGCAGCGCUCGCUACGCCGGAGCCUCCUCUCGUUGUCCUUCUUCCUCGAAUCACCCUCAUGCCCCUUCCAAUCAUACUGCACUGGCGUGGAGUGGGGGAUCCAUCCCCACUUGCUUCAUUUCUUAUUCUGUUCGUAAGUAGCCGCUGCUUUGCCCGGAUUGUUCUGGGAGUUUAGCGUUCCUUUCUUUGCGCGACUACAUUCGGUUAGUUGAGGGUUAUUAUUCUUUUGGCUGUGGCAAUCCGUGGUUCGAUUAGGUUCAUCGUUGUCAGCGCAUAAGGUCGAUCCAUCUCAGUUCAGCUGUCAACAUAAUAAUCUUGGCACCCAAUUAAAGUGCCAGUGCAAUUUAUUUGCUAUGUAAAAAUCUGGGGGAUUCAACUAAACACUCAAUGGCCCACUUUAGUUCUGGGUUGGUGUGUGAAACUAUUCACUGAUGGCCGCAAGGAGGUCCACUAAAAUCAGCAAUAUUCAUGUCCAUGUAACUGCUGUUGUGAUGGGUUAGUAGGGGGGCAAAUUGCUGUGUGCAUUUGAGCAAAAACAUGUUUAAAGUGCUUAUUAAUCGAUGGGCAAUUAGUGGGUUCACUUCACCAAUGGGGAGAGGCCUCCUUUAUGAAACAAGUGGAAUCAUCUUUCUCCAGAUCUGUUAGUCUGUAUUUAAAUGAAAGAUUGAAGUCUGAUGUAGGUUCAAUCAACUGGUUCAGAGAACUAGCUGUGUGAGAGGAAAAAAAAUGUUUUUCUGUAUAUGCAGUAAGUUAGGAGAGUAGUCCUAUCAUCAUUAUCUUCUGUAAAGCUGGUGUUGCUGACUGGUGGUUCAUAAGGAUUUGUCUGAGUGAAAAAUAUAAAAUUGAGUAUAUGAAGUUCACGUUUGCAAUCACACUAGAGAAUGAUGGAGAUGUUAAUCAUGAAAAAAAAUAUUGGCUGCAUUCUGUGGCGGAAACCAUUAGCGGCAUACUUUCCUCCGUUUGGGCCAUAGUGUUAUCCACAUUCUAAAAUGUUGUUUCUGUGGUGGAAAUCCUUAGCAGCAAACUUCCUCCGUUUUUAAAUAUAUGUCGUCUAGGACAAGCUAACUACUUCAAAAAAUGAAUUAAUUAGAUUGUCCUAAAUGUCGCAUAUUUAAGAACGAAGGGAGUAUAUGAUAGUCUCUCUUGCUUUGUAAUUUUUGUUCUAUGGUUUGCAUUUUUUUCUCAGCACAAUUUUGUCAUUGCUGGGGCUCUACUUACAGCUUAUCACUUGUCUUUUUGCAGUGAACACAGCUGAAAUAUCUGAUACAGUCGGCAAGCUUUACUUUUCAUCACAUUUGCACAUUUCAGGAUGAGCUCCAAGAUCAUGAUAACCUACAAGAGGAAGCGUGUUACCUCACAAGACCAUACUGCUGAUGACACAGCUCUUGAUUCGUCUCCUGCUGCCUCCAGUAAUGUAGUUGCCAGCAAUUUACCCCCAAGGUUUGAGGCGCAUGCUGAGAACACCAUCGUAAAAGAAGAUAAUUUUGUGAGGAAUCUUUCCUUGAUUCUCUUCCUGUUGAUGUUGUCAGUUGACACCAUUUCCAUCACAUGUGUUUAUCUAGGUUAUCACUGUUUUCACAUUCUUUAAAAGGCAUAAGAUUACUUCUGAUUUUUUUUUUGGCCAUGGAACUUGUGGAGUUGUGGUGUCAUAGAUAUUUGCACUAAAGAUGUUAAUGGGUACAUAUUUGCAUCAACUGUUUGUGUGUGCCUUGAAAGGACUAUCACUAAGCCUGGAUAUCCUCUAAAAUGGUCCUUGAUAUUUAUGUGUUCUGACUUUUAAAAAACUGUUAGCAAUUAGUUUUCCAUCUUUGAUGUCACUGAUGAGUCUUCAGUUUUCCUCUUCCAUCUAGUUUCUUGUCUGAUACCCUUUUCUCAUAUGGAAUGAUUGGCAGGUUACUCCUACAAAGCAACAGCCUUUGUCAAUGCAACAAAGCAUCAAAGAAGAAUGUGAACCGGAGAGAGGGAAAAAUGAGUUGUAUGGAUCGUUACCACAGAAAGAACAACCUGAGAUUUGUUCUGCCACGAUUCCGACUGCAGAGGCACACAACAAAUUAUUACAAUGCAGUGAGGACACAAAUAAUCAAAUCCCUGUUUCAAGUUCUAUGUGUGAUCCCAUGCAUGCUGAUGGAAUGGCUGAUCGGACAAAAGAUCAGAAUACCUCAGCCACUGCGGAAAAAAAUUCUCAUAAAGGGCCAGAAAAUACUAUGGGAUCUCACCAAUGUAAGAAUAGAUUUAGUCCUCUGCUUACCUUUCGCAGGCGAGUUAAAAAGAAAAUUAAUGAGGAACCAGCAGAAGAAAUUUGUUCACCAGACAAUGGCAAACAGUGUUCAACACUGACAUGCAGUCAACCAAGCUCGUCAAUUAAUGAUACACCCUUGCUCAAAUAUACUGCUGGAAACCCUUUGGAUACUGAUGAUAAGGUACAUUUUUACACUCAUCUUAACCAGCACAUGUACAAUGACAGAAAAUGGCAUGGUCUUAUUGAUCUUUCCUUCAUAUCUCUGCCUUCUUUUAUUUUGCUUUUUUUUUUGUUUGGGGGGGGGGGGGGGUGAACUGAAUGAAGGAGUUAGCUGGCAAACAAGAGCUGUACCUGUUUUUAGUGCUGACAUGAUUUUAUAAUCUAUGCACAAAAACUCAUCAAUGUACCUGUAUCAAGGUAUGGUGUCUGUUAGUCUAAGCUAUGAGAUUCAGAUGCUAGGUGAGUGAUCUUGUAUGCACUUCUUUCAAACACACUAAAAAAACAAAACUGUAAAUAUACUAUGCAGCAAUAGCCUAGUCGUAGAAAUUGUUGUAUAUCUUCGCUACAUAAAGUGCCAAAAACAUAAAGAAGCAGAUGUGACCUUAUAUACUGGAUAUUUCUGUAUCUGCUACUUUCAGUACCUUGUACUAUUGAAAUGAUGUGUCAAUGUCCGGAAAUAUUAUGAUAGUAAAAGCCUUUCAAAAUUAACCAGAUUAGCAUUCUGUCAUGUUUAAUUUGUAAUUUAUUACCUCUACGUUCUGUGAUUAAAAGUUAGAACUAAGAUCUUUAUCAGUGUAGAGAAUGAGAAAAAAUGAUGCCAUUAAAGGAUUAUUGCUUUUGUGCAAGCAUAUAAAAAAUUUCAACAUAUAUGCAUAGCCUUUUGGUAUCAUGGCAAAUUUUCUUACAAGGUAACAUAAAGUAAUGAAAGAGACGACACCUUGUUUGUGCUGCUAAAGGCAAAUUUGCUUCAUGCACCAUGUAUACAGAAAUUUUUAAAAGUUUGUGCUCUUUCCACCACUAUAGAUUCCUAAUUUUUCUUACUAUAGUUUCUUUUUUUCUCUGUUUUAAAAAUCCAUUUUAUGUCACUAUAGAUAUACUUGCUCUGUUUUUUAUAUAUUGCUUUGGCAAAAACCCAUGUGGUCGUUGAUAAUUUCCUUGCUCGUCCCCACAUUAUCUUUUUUCGAUAAAGGAAGCUCCCCACAUUAUCUGCCUAGGGCAUUCAGAAUAAUUAAAGCUAACAUUUAAUUCAUUACAGGUAGCUAAAGUGAGAAGUACUGGACUAUCUACACAAGCUGAAAGCACGCAUGAACAAAAAAGGUAAGGUGAUGUGAUGGUACUUGUUUGUUAUUAAUACACACGUAAGAAAUUAAUACAAUGUUCCUUUUGUAGUUCGCAAAUCAUAAAAUCCUCAGUUCAGCAUAUGGUUCCACGCAUUGCUGAAGGUGGAAACCGAAACAUGACCCUGGAAGAUGAUGGUACACCAGUGUCAAAGUUCACUUGUGUACAAGAGGUCAGGGAGCAAGAUGCAACAGUGGAGGACUCGAGCAAAACAUUGCCAAUUACUAUUGAAGUGCCAAAAGUUAUUGAUGUGCAGGGAGAGGGAAAUGGUAUUGCGCAAACUACCCUGCAGUCACCAAGGCAAAGCGUAAAUGUCAGUUGGUUGAUACCAACCAAUAAAUCUGCUGCAGAAGAUGUUCCAGAAUCUCAAGGUUCAACAAAAACUGUACCGGUUAUUGUCUUGGAUGAUGAUAGUGAUGAGAGAGGCAAAGAGCUAGAAAAUUCAGAGGCUCUUGAUCAAGGUCUUCAUAAGCAAAACAAAAAGAAUUGUUUAGGGAUGAUUGACCUGAACUGUGCUGAAUUACGACAAGAAGGGUUUCUCCAUUUGGGUGAUCCAUCAAUUCAAAAGCUGCCAGAUCAGGUGAGGAUAAUAAAAUUAGAUGUUUUAUUACGUGUUUACUUGGCUGUUCAGCAUGUCCAAAUUCUCCAUGCAUUAAGUGAGAAUUGUUUUCUUAGUGCUGCAAAUUUUAUUUAUCUGAAUAAUAUAUCGCCGUUUCUUUCAUUCUAACAGCGGCGGGGGGGGGGGGGGGGGGGGGGGGGCGGGGUUCACAUAUUUCGUUUGAUUUUUUGCCCUUCAUAUAACCACCAAGUUGUCUGCAAGUUUGAAUUCAUUUUCUUUUGUCAUAUAAAUACAAUGUACUAUAAUUGUAAAAAUAAAAUCUUAACAGAGAUGAUCUGAAACAUUUUCUCACUGCUCGCAGGAUAUAAUUGCUAGUGCUCAAAAGCAGAUGUCCCAACCAAUUGAAAGGAUGUUUUUCACAAAGGAGAAAGACACUAUCCAUGGCAAGCAACAACAGCAUGAAGAAAGCUCAACCAUGCAUACCUCGUACUCAAAUUUCUUUGACCUGGCUCCACCAAGGAACACUGGGAGUUUGAAGAGACCAAGGAACUUGUCUUCAGAAUUGAAGUUCAGAAUAAUGGACAAGGCUCCUGAAUUCAGUUUAGACCUAAGCCUGGAUAGUUUCCAAGACAGUAGAGUGUCUGCCUUGAGGAGCGAUAAGUUGUUUCUUGGAGGCACCUCCAGCAUAUCUCAUAAGCUGACAGAAAGGCUUGGCACAUACUCCUACAAGAGGCACUCAGCUCCGUGGUCAGAAGAAGAGUUGGAUUUUCUUUGGAUUGGAGUUAGGAGGUAUGGCGUCAACAAUUGGAAUGCAAUGAUGAGGGAUACACGGAUACGGUUUUCAAACUCAAGGAUGCCUGAGGAUCUUGCUAAGCAAUGGGACAAGGAGCAGAAGAAGCUUCUGACGUCUGCUCUGGGUCCUGCACCACCUCUUCAUAUAGCGGAAGAUUAUCUCGGUAGAGCUUCGUGCUCAGGUUGCUCAAAGUCUCCAUUUCUUGGAGCACAAACGGACCUUUCAUUGGGCGAUGUCUACCUUAGCAAUGCUCAUGCUUCAGAAAGAAGUCGGCAUCAUUUGUCAAAUUUGGGGCUGUUAAACCUUCAUGGAACUGAUGGUGGGCCAAGAAAUCUGUCCCUGGGAGGCUUCCCGGGGGCUUCUUCCUCGCAUGGAAGAAGUGGCAGCAGGCGCAAGAGGGCAUCCAAGCUCCAAAAGUCAUACUACGACAGCAAGUCACCUUGGUUCCAGGAACCAUCAGAGAGGGCGCCUCACCUCUUUCCCAUGAACCAACAACCGAUCAACAGCCUUCCCCAGUGGCUGACCAAGGAUGCGGAGACCGGCACAAGCCGAAUCGACCGGGAGAUGUGGCCGAGCAUGGCACUAGCACCGGUGCAUUCUGCUGCGGAUCCUCCGAGGGAUAGCCUGAGAGGUAAUCUGUUUUCUGAUGACGUGAAGCCCCAUGUCCUCCCUGAUGCUUCCCUGAAGCGCGCGAUGAGGAGGAACGCGGAUUGGCGCUCGUUCAGCAAGAGGCUGUUCCAGAGCGGUGACCCCUUGGAUCUGAACCGGGGGACUGCAGCUGCAGCCAUCGCAGGAGCCAACGGUGUCACUCCUAGCGACACCGGCGCGUCAUCGGAAGAGACGGUGUCAGACAGCUGAGGGCCCGUGCUUAUCAUGGGCCCUUGUCGUACCUGUACGUCAUGUUGCAAUUACAUCUUCUAGUAUUUUGAUGCUGGUGAAGAGUAGGAACGAACAGUUUAAUCUGCAAUGCCAUGCCAUGCCAGUGAAUAAUCUGAUGGCAUCUUGUAAAGCAGCAGCUGCAGCAGUGUAUAUCUUGCUAGGUGUUAUUUUAGUUCCCUCCAUCCAUGGGAGAAGAGGUUUUAUUCUGCCCUUCUAUUCCAAAUUGUAGAUCGUUUUAAUUUUUUUAAGUUUAUAAAUAUUAUUAUGCAUAAACCUAGAGAUAUACUUAGAUAUAGUAUAUCUCUAUGUGCAUAAUAAUAUCUAUAAACCUAGAAAAGUUAAAAACGAUUGUAGUCACAACGAUCUACAAUUUCGAACCGAGGGAGUAUCGUAAUAUCUCACUCGUGUAAGCAGAAGAGAUUUAUGACCUUAAUUUAAUCCUAUUUUUCUGAUUGCCGCGACGGUGUGACCCUCUUGGUUGUCGAGAUUGGCAAUAGGGUGGGCAUGAUCUCAGCAGGAUUUUUUUUUCAAAAUAAAAAAAGAAGUGCAGCGUACAGCUCAAAAAAGAAAUGAAUUUGUAGCCAAUGACACGUUGACACGUGUCCUUAGUAGCUUGAGUUAAGAAAGGCUGUGGGCCGGUGGCAUUUGACUGGCGUGGUGGGCCCACCCAGUACAAGGACAACGCGGAGGGGAUGAUGCCGAGGGCUCGAGGCGGUCGGAGGCGAAGUUCGCCGCCGCCUCGUCUCGUUGCAAGCACAACCUACGCCUCCGCCGUCUCGUCGUAGCCGUCGUCUCCUUCGUGCUCUGCUGCUCCUCGUGCUCCCUAGAGCCCAGAUCCGGCGGCGAAGAGAAGUUGCGUCGCGCCAUGGAGUCGUCUCAGGUCAGCCACCCCAAACCCUAGCCCUGCUAGUUUACGAAUGCGAAUUUCUGGGUCGUAUUCUCCUUCCCCUUCCGGAUUGCCGGGCACACGGGUGCCUGCGGGGUCAUCGAAUUCGCGUCGGUGGCUACCUCUAAUUUUGACGCGUCCUGUUCAAUUUCGAGAUUCUCGUGUAGAUACCUAGAUGGUGCGUCUAAUCGUAGUCGUUAGGCGCUCUGUUGUUUCCAUUCGUUUGUAGCCACCUUCGAUUUUGAUUCCGUUCGCGUUCGGUUUGAACCCGUUAGGGGCCUUUAGUAGCAUUUUUUCUGAAUUGUGCGUGCCCGUGUUGUUUUACUUAUGAUGUAUAUGUUAGAUUUUGGGUCUACUUGCUUAAUGCUGAUUUUUCAUGCUAUUAAGGCGCUAAUUUGGUGCAUACAUUGGAAGUUAUUUGUUUUAUUUGGGUGAUUCUUCCAAAUAUUGUGUAGUGAGGGUCACCUCUAUAUAUAAAUUAGGUUCUCUUUUCCUGUUGCAGUCUCAAGGAUAGUUUUGACCUUUUAAAUAUCUCCUGAAUUGUUAGCGCUGGAGCCACAGUGAGGGUUUUAAUACAACUCUUGAACUUGCUGACAGCAUGCCAUAUGUAGUUAUUCAGGAAAUUAGGCAAAUGUAACUGCAUUGUUGCCUCCUGCAAGUGAGUUAAUUUAAAAGGUUCGGGAAAUUGAUGAGCACUAGGUCUUAGUUGCAGAAUAUAAUUUUUAUGAUUUGUCUUGACCUCUAGAAAUAUAUGAGCUUUUAUCUUGUCUAUUAAGUAUUUCAAUUAAUUUGCAAUGUGGGAGCUUCAAUGCAUUCAGCGGUUUACAUAUGGAAUAUAUUGUUCCCUUGCUGAAUCUUGUUUUCUCUCUCUCUCCUUUUUGGAGUUGUGAUUCAGGACUUUGGAGUAACCUGCAUGGACUUUGGUCUUUUGUUGAUGCUAGAUAGGAAGGUGACUUGAUUUCCUGUGACUAAGUUUUAACCCAUCUCUUUUAGCUGUAAUACUAUGCUUUGAUUACUCAGAUACGUAUUAUGCAACAAGGAUCCAAAAUUACCACGUCUUGGUAACUGAGGUUCUUGAGGUAAGUAAAACCUGAAAAGGUAACUCCGCGGAUGUUGGACGUUGCUGUUAUAUGACCUUAUGGCCCUUCUGCAUCAUAUUUAAGUUAUUGUGCAGUAAUGUUUUAUUGUUUCUUCUUUUUUUCUUGCUGCAACACUUUUAACAUGUUGGCUAUCAGGAGCUGUGCCGUGUUUCAUAUUUUUCUUGUAAUUGGGGUUGGUAUUUUCAAUAACGGCUGUGGUAGUGGCAAGGUAUCUUGCUAGUGGUCCUUAUAUCGUGGCAAUUUGCAUUGUUGUGGAUGUGGGUAGCUAGGCCACAUACUUAAGAGCAAAAGCACACGUUUGAAGGAGUCAAGGAGGAAAGUACUUAGUAUGAGUAAAUCUCUUAGGUAUAGACAAUUUAGUGUAGUAAUGGGAAUCAUAUCUUAGUAUUGUUAGCUAUGCAAGGCGUUAGCCCUAUUAAAGGGCUAAAUUGGCAAGCAAUGGAAAUAAACUGUUCUAAUUUUACCUACAUUGUUGCUCCUCCUAGACAGACUCUUCUAAUUCUCUUCCUGGUCUCCGCCCCUUCGCUUUGUGCCUGAUUAUUUAAGUAGUAGGCACCCGUCUUCUUUUUUAACAGUGUUUUCCCUUCACGUGCUAAGCCAUACAACUUGUAGGCAGUGGUAUCUGGUAUAUAUCCAUUGAUAAUGAAGUUGAGUUGGGGAGGGUUAUAUGAUGGCAGAGAAAGGACAACACAUGGUUCUGCUGCAUAUUUAAUAUACUAUUUUUGUGUCAUAAAAAUCAAAUAGGUGGUGUGCUUUGAUCUUUUGAGAAGUUGGUGAUUUAUGAUAUUGUUUGCUAGAUGCUAUCUCAUAUGACAGUUUAUUGUUCUAGAGCAGGAUAACAUCAAUUGAAUCAGGGGUGUUUUACUAAUGCUGUCAGCAUAGCUUUUCCUAAUCAUAGUUGCAUAUAAUGGAUGAAUCAGGGGCGAGUACGAGUUUUGGUAAGGUCAAGAUAGGAUCAUCGGUUUCAGAACUAACAGGAGAACUAAAAAGCACACAACAUUGAUGAUCCUCUGUUCGUAGAAAGGUGUUUUUGUCACAAGCUUUUGCCAUAAUAUUGUAUUUGCAUACUACCAAAUUUCUGAUGAGUUCAACGCACUGCUUGCACAGCUUGAAAACCUACUUUCAUCGUGGUAGUCUCCACAUUGUGGCUGCCAUGCUACAUUUUUUGAACUGCUUUCCCCCAGCAAAAAUAGUUAAUGAAAUUGCUUCCUGGCUUUGCUGAUCCUAGGUUUAGAGAUAGCAAGUGUAAAGUAAUGGCUCACUUUUUUUUCUUUUAAGUGAACAUUAUCACUUCCAGAAUAGAUGAAUCGGAAGUUUUGCUGUCUAGGUUUAUUUUCACUCAUUAUGUAUUCGAGUUAGCAAGCAGUUCGAUGCAAAUAUUUCUCUACCCCGUGUUUUUGCAGUGAUCGACAUCCUGAGCAUCUGACUGUAGCGGACAGACGAAUUUGUACGACAAUCAGCUGUGCUUCCCGUCAAACCUUGCUGAUGCAAACUACACACGCUAAUCUGUACUUAACUACUAGCAGUGAAACUGCGUAGCAAUUCUGCCCAUGACGAAGCGAAGUAGUCGUGACAUGAACUAGGUGAUGCCAACCAGUAGAACCGGAUAUUGACAAAAAUGGCCAUGCCGCUUAUAAGGUCCAUGUAUGGCACACGCAUCCACUUCGUUAGCCCAACCGUUACGCAAUCUGGCUCAAAGAGGCCCGCAAGGAACAUGUAGGCUCGUUAUGGCGCAUAAUCGCCCCUCACACGAGCCCAUCAUGGCCCAUUACAAUACUCAAAGUCCAUUAUUUACGCCCACAUGGGUCCGUUUUGACCCAUUAUAGGCCCAUGUAUAGCCCAUCCCAUACUCCAUAGGCCCGUAUAAGCCCAUAUAAGGCCCAUCGUCGGCCGUAAUAUACGUCCAUAUGGGCCUAUAUAUAGCCCAUCCGCAAGUCCAUCAUAGGCCCAUUAUAUGGCCCAUGCGAAGCCUAUAGUUGGCCAAUUAACGGCCCAUACGUGGCCCAUUAUCGGUCUACCAUGGCUCAUUAUCGGCCCAUCCUAGGUCCGUUAUCGGCAAGUCUGAGGCCCAUUAACGUGCUUCUGGCCCAUCUUCAUAUUCGAAGGCCAUCGUUGGCCCAUUAGAGGCCCUUUUACAGACUAUGGGUACACGGCCCAUGUCAGGCCCACGGUGGUACGUUCGGACGUUCGGUAGCACAUCGUAGGCCCAUGUAAAGUUAACGUUACUGCUCAUGAAUGUACUCAUCUUGCCAUGUUGAUCCGUUUUACAGCCCUUUAGUAUUUCUUGGACAUCCUGUGGCCCAUAUAAAUACAAUGGUCCCCAAAUUCCCGUCUAACGUCAGGCAAAACGACUGUGCUCAGCAGUCACAGCAUCUGCGCCAUCCCCUCUCGAUCUGACGAUGACCAGCUCCCACCUCGUCAAUCCUUGCACACGCUGGGCCUCGGCCCAACACAAGCACGGCCUGUUGGAUCAGAAGAGCUGCGGCCACUCGUUUUUUUAGCUCGAAUGCUCUCUUUUUUUGGCGCGGCGGCUCGCGUUUUUGGCGCGAGGGCGUGCUGUGAGGCGGCGAUCGUCAGGUGCCCGUGCUCGUUCUCUCUCGAUCCAAAACGAGGUACACUAAUCUGCACUCCCAUCUCUUCCUAUUAAAUCAGAUUGCAGGGACAUUCUAAUUUGGUUACCUUCCACCUCCCUCAUUAGAUUGUGUUGGAAUUGGUUGAAGGAAACAUCAGAUUGCUUGAAAAACGAAAUUUGCAUCUGCAUAUCUGAGAUGGAAGAAAACAGGUGUGUAUCGCCCUAGUUUGUUACUUCUUUACCAUGAGAUUAGACAGAUUUUAGUUCUUCAAAUAAUCACCUCCUUUUCUUGUAGUGAGGGCUUGCUGCCUAGUUUGUUGCCUCAAGUUGGCAUGGAGUUCAGUAUUAUUGAAGAGGCUUGGAUGUUUUGGAUUAGCUAUGGAGGUCAAAAAGGAUUUGAGGUUAGAAAAAGGUACAUAAACAAAAGAAAAUCAGAUGGGAAGAAAAUCAGAUGGGAAGGUUAGGUCCUGCAGAUAUGUUUGUGCAAAUGAGGAUCAUAGAUUGGAAGAUAAAAGGAAUCAUCUAACAAAAUGUCCAAUAGCUGAAACUAGAACUGAUUGUCAAGUUCGUAUGGGUGUUGUAAUGGACCUAGCGAAGGGAACUUAUAAAGUGGCUGACAUUCUUCAUUCUUCAGUUGCCACAAACCUCGCACCUGAUGGUGUCUUAAAGAAAAAUUUUAGGGGGUCAUUUAAUCUCAGUUACACUCUUUGUGACCACAAGAAUUAUUUAUGGGGUAAACGCUGCUUGAAGCAUGCUUAUGUAUUUUCAAAACAAAAUUGCUAAGAACCCGUCAUUCCAAUUAACAGUCAGCUGUCAAAAAUAAUUUACUGAGAAUCUUGGUACACAACACUACUGGUAUAAGUGUCCUGGAAACACUACACCUUGGUACAUAUGGUGCUUGCACAAGCACAUUACUACAUAUCUGCACUCAAAUCAUCCUGACCAAUUUGUCAAUCGGACUCCAUCUAUCUUCAGUUCAGGUUCAUAGUUACAGGUUAACACAUGGUUUACAAAUUACAAUCUAAAGCAUCAAAAGAUGCAGAGUUUCAAAUAAUACGCACUGCAAGACAUCACGUCCUAUGAAACCGUACCACACAACAGUUACAAUUCUCGUCCAAUACAACAGCCCUAACACAUCUGAAGCCAACAAAACGGGCAGCAACAUUUUCAAUCUAGGCCGGAUUGAACCUGUAACACCCAAAAUUUAAAGGAUUCAAAUUCACUAAAAAUUGCUCAAUUAGGUUAUAAUUUAAAUUUCUAGACAUUUAAAUUUGCAUUUUCUCAAAUUAAAAUAAUUCACCAUAGGAGUUUAUUGUGCAUGCUGGUGCAUUUAUUUUAAUUGAUUGUGUUUGGUCAAGUUCAAUUUUCAAAUUCAAAUUUUAGUUUAAAAAUCUUUUCUUCUUCUUCUUUCUUUCUUCUCUUCUUUUGGGCCGCAUCCUUUUUCCCCUCCUUCAGCCCAGCCGUUAGCUCCUUUUGGCCCGCUCCUUCCCUCCUCGCGUAGCCCAGUAUCGCCUAGCUCCCUUCGGCCCAGCUAGCUACCUCCUCCGCCGGCCCAGCUAGCGCUGCACGCCCCUUUUCCCUCUGUCGCCGAUAGGUGGGGCCCGCCGAUCAGCCCCUCCUUCCACUUUCCUUUCUUCCUCCUCCCGCUCCCUUCCUUCCAGCGUGCCACCCCCUUUCCUUUCUUCCGCUGCCACACCUUCCUUUCUCCGGCGUCCCUCCCUUCUCCGCAUCCGCCUUGACCUUGCCCGCCUCUACCCUUAUAUAAAGCACCCCCCCAGCCUCAAGCAUCCAGCAGCAGCGCCCCCCCCCAAACCCUAGCAAGCACCGUGACCCGAGCUCCAGCGCCACCGCCCUCUCGCCACCGCCAAGCACCGCCUCCCGGUGAGUCUCGGUCGCCGUGAAUCGCCGAAACGGGAUCGCCUUGGUCUUCUCGUGCUUCUGGUGUUCUCCGCACACAAAACCAUGGUCGGGAGCUCGAUUUCGAGCAAAUCCGGCGAAGCGCCGUCGCGGCUUGCCGACGCUAACGCCAGCGCCACACGCAUCCGCCGUCGAUCUCGUAUCGGUUGACCCAGAUCUGUUUUCCCUGGCUUUAAGACGCAAGCCGAGCCGAGCCGCCCGUUUGGCUCGCCUCGAAUCUAGCCACGUGAUCCCCUCUGCCCGCUGCAGAUCCGACGACUCGGAUCUUUUCGACCGAGCAGUAAUGGUUCGAAUUGAGCCGCACAUUGUCUCUUUUGCAUUCAAGCCCUCGCCUUUUCCACAAAUCAACCCGCAGUCCAAUCCAAUUCAAAAGUAAUUGCAUUUUGGUCCUGUUUUCUUUUGCUUAAGCCCCUAAGCUUCUCUAAAAUCAACCCGCCAUCCAGAUUUGAGUUUUUACACGUUCGCCCUUUGGUUUUUAUGUAUAAUUAUGUUUAAGCCCUUGUUUUUUUUCCAAAUAAGCUUCUGGAAGUUUUGUUUUCUUGCAGAAAAGCUCCUGAAACUUGUUUUAAUCAUAUCUUUUGCAUCUUAACUCUGUUUUUUGCGUUCUUUAUAUUCACAUGUUUGUUUCGAAGCGUAGAUUAGUUUUUCAAGCUUGUUUCCUCUGUUUAUUAUGAUUGGUGUAUUGUUUUUCUUAUUAUUCCUUUGUUUGCUUGUAUGCGCUCGUGUGACGCGUGUAGACGAUCCGCAGUUUGAGGGAUUUGAGGAUCAAGCUUUCGAGGAGUACGAACAGCAAGAGCCAGGCCAAGAAGGCAAGUCGUGUCCUUGAUCACUUCUUUAAGUCCUAUUCAUCGUUACUUUCAUGUUCUAUAUAACAUUGCUAUGCACAUAAUAGUUGUAAUGUUGAUGGGUCCCAAUUAAGGUUCACCUAGAUUCAAUUUACCUUUGCCUUGACCAAUCGGGUUUACUUUUAUGUUGGGUAGCUCAAGCUUAGUGCUCACUUGGGAUAUGGUGGUUUAAUUGAAUUCAACGAUUAAUCUUGCUUUACUUCUGUUUGUACCUUUCAUUUAUACAAGAUCAUAAAUGUUUAAUCGGAACAUGGAGAACCACCUAGGAAAAUAAUGCUACCACAAGACUAAAUGGUUCUGGUCUUGGCUCAAUAAUUAGAAACUCUAGUAUGGGAUAACCUUACCCAAAGGGCAAGAGGGGAGGCGUUGAUAGGGUAUAGCACUCGCUCUCUUGAGAAGUGGGUUUUGCUAAGACACUGUACUCACUAGGGGACUGUUAUGCUUUGCUUCGGCCUGAAACCUUAGCAGGUUACUACUUACUAGCGAAUCUUUGUAAAGACCUCGUAGCGUCCCUAUGCAAUCACACAUCGAAAGUGUGGUAUGGUGCCUUGCAAACACCGCAUGGUUGGGUCCAAAGUUCUUUUGAACUUUUACGCGACUUGUGAUUAAAGAUGUGCGACCUCUGCAGAGUGUAAAACUGAUCGAUCAGCCGUGCUCACGGUUAAAAGCGGCCUGGACCCUCACAUGAUAAUACUAUCGAAAGAUGGACUUAAAUUGUUGUUAUUUCAUUCAUGCAUAUGUUUGUUUACUUUAUUUAUGCUCUUGUUUAAUUUUUGAGUGGUAUAAACUUACACUUAGACAAUUGCUAAUAAAAUUUGACCAACCAAAUUAAAAGUUGAUGCUAAUUUAGCCUUAGCCAUACCUUGAUUGGCCUUACACUUCACUAUUCUCCAUGACUUGUUGAGUACCAACCAUAAGUGUACUCACCUUUGCAAAACCGCUGUUCAGACAAGAUAAUCUGGUGGAAUACAUUAACAACUCUGAGGAGUUCUAGAUGUACGAUUCUUCAGUCAACUGCCUGUGGUGUCAUCAUCUUCGGAGUCCGCUGUGUAUUUCCUUAAGUUCGUGCUUAUUUGAGAUUUUCGAUCAUUAAUAACAUUUAAUACUCUCUUUGUUCACUUUAGCUCUAUCUUUAUUAUUCACUUAUAUCAUAAGUCUGUGUCCUAGCGCACAUGAAUGCACUCAAUUUUAUCCUUAAAAAUGGUGCGACACAACCUUACGGGCGUGACAGAACCUUACCACGAGAAAUACCGGAACCAUAGAUUGAGGGCGCAAUAGAUCAAAACAGGCCAAAACUAGCUAACAGACGAGGAGAGCAGCCACAUCGCAAUUCAGAGAAGCUGCGAGUCACCACGAACAGCACAACAGUGGGGGCAAACCCCUAAACCCUGCACGAAGCAAUCGAAUCGAAUCCAGGAAUGCCCUAGCCAGGACGGAAUUACGACGUGGAACCCUAACGCGCAGGCGCACCGCGGGACCCUUCUGCAAUUCCAAGGCAAAGCAAGCGAACCGGGAGCCAACCCUAGAUCCCCAGGGCAAGCAAGCAUACCGCAAUCGUCGUGGGUGGUCGACUCGGAUCGCGCUCCUCAACGAGGCCCCGCGGUGAAGCGAAGCAGCCGUCGCCAUGCUUCGGUAGCUGAGGAGCAUUCGCUGCGACGGCGCGUGGCGCGGAGGCGGAGACGGCGACGCGGCGGAGUAGGCGCAUGUCUGUCGGUGGAGAUAAGAGAGGGAAGACUGGAAGAGAGAGACUGAACAAGUCCAGACAGGGUUGUUCCCUGAGCCCUACCCUGGGCCGUGUGGUCCAUUUUUUCCGGACAAACCCCAAUGGUCAUGGACCGGCUACGUGGGCCUGAUUCCCUCAGAGCGAGAAGGGCCGGCCUGGGCGAGAAGGGCCGGCCUGGGAGAUCCUCUAAUUUUUUUAGGGCAGGGCCUGCCUGCCUGGGAGAUCCUUGGCAUAUGGUUCUGAUUUUUGAGGGACUUCUAGUUGAAAUUUUAAACGAACCGGAUCCUCUAAAAAGAACCGUUGAAAUGAACCGGUGAGGUCAAUGGUUCUGAAUUUUUUCUUGUUCGACCUGUGACCGGGUCCGGGUUUUUUUAUAUACUUAUAUAUAGUUGCUAAAAGGACCAUGAUCAUGUGCUUGGAAUGUACGUACGUCUAAGAAAUCUGCGUGUGCAUCACCUUGUAAUUAAUAGGAAAUGAAAAAAAGGGGGUUUCAUCUGGCCCUCACAUUGUUUUCCUAUGUUGUGUAUGAGGUGCUAGGCCACAUGCAUAAUAAAUAGUAUAGAGUAGCUAGGUGCAUGGCUAGCCGACUAGCAAUACUAUCUAAUCUGACCGUGUUUAUCUGGCGCCUCCACAUAUACAUCCUCUGUAGAUUGGACUGAACACCACACGUUUACCCAUUCUUUAAUCAGUUUCAUGUACACUGAUUGAUGGUUAUCAUUGGUCAAAAACUGGAGUCAUUGCUUACUGCAUGCACGAAUCUCACACUUGUGCAUGGUGCGUGUGUCCAAGCAAGGCUACGAAAGGGCACGGUGACCGGGUGGAUUUGUUAAAUGCCUAGGCGUAUACCAUGAGCUGCCUCAUAAUCAGUUUAGGUUUAUUGGUUUUAAUGAUUAGGAUUUUGUUUGGAUUUAUUUUGGUUGGUGUACAGUGGGCUGGCCCAUCAAACGGUUCGAUUCGAAUUGAAUUGCUAGAGCAAGCAGUCUGGAUAGUGAUCGUAGUGUAUGUUCUGGUAUAAUGUUGAUAUGCCUUUUGGCCCAUUGGUGACCAAAGCAGUCUCGCUCACAUCGCAGCCGCAGACGGGGCAAACCAACCCAACCCUCGCUGCUGCGCCGAGGCCCGAGGGGUCGAGGAGGGCCUCGCCUCGUUUCCCUCCCUCCCCCCUCCCAUGAUCCCGCCACCGCCACGCAUCCACCUCCACCUCGCCCGCGCCACCGCCACCUCACCCAAAACAUCACCAGGUCACACCUCCUACCCGACCCAGCCUCCUCCACGACCAUCGCUGGCUGUCCGAGCUUUCCAAGAAGCCGGUGAGGGCGCGAGGCUAGCCAGCGCUGAGCCGCCGCCUCUCCACCUCCAUCCUCCAUCAAGGCGUCGCCCCUCCACCUCCCCGUCUAGGCACUUCCCUCGGACACCUCGAUCUGCAGCAGGCACUUCUACCUUGGACGCCUCCUCCGCAUCCGCCCCGACACCUCCACAUCGUCCUCCUCCUCGGCAGCUACUGUUGUGAGUUCGUCCCCCUUCAUCCUCUAGAAAACUUGUCAUCCAGCAUUGCAAUCCAUACUCAGUCGAUAACAAAAGUUAUGGUACUGAAUCACAACAUGUGAGAUUACAAAAUUACUGCAUACUUCCUAUUUUGUACCUACUGUUUCAAUGGCAAGUAGAAUAGCUUUUCUUGUUUUCAUGAAUGUGAUUUGCCCGGAACUUGUAAAUUCAGUAAAUCUCCUUGUCGUGAAUGACAAUUGACAGUCAUGUCUACAUGCUUGCUUGGUACCUCACUAUUGAUUGUCUGGACAGUAGCAUCUUGGUUUAAGAGGAUCUCUUCGAUCAGCACCAUUACUAAUGUCUUUUACCGGGAAGUGUCCUAUUUUUGAAUGUCUCAUGUUUGAGAUUGAGCCAUGUGUUUCUCUCAGUCACAUCAUUGAUUUAGAUCAUCUGCUGCAAUUACAAGUUAAUACCAAAUGCAACCCUAUUUUGCUUGUAUAGGUAGGUCAGUAAUUGUAUUCCACUACUGUCUCGGUAGUGAAUUUUCAUUGAAAAAUCUUUCAAGUGAUGGAGCACAGUAGUUUUUUUUCCUUCCUAUUCUUUGCAGUUUGCUGUAAUGGUUGCAAAAUCUCUGAACUUUUAUAAAUUGCUUGUAAGCAGUGCUAUGAGAGUUAUGCUGAACCAUCUUUAUUAUCAGCUUUUUCCUUAUGAAUGCCAUGUCUAGUAAUUUGUUUACACAGUAGUAUCCCUCAUGAAUAAAACUCGCAAUUUCUUAUAAGUUGUUAUUACCUAGGGAUUCUUCAACAUGUCUACUAACUCAUCAGGAAGCUCUGAUGACUCUGAUUCAACUCAAACAUGUGCAGAAAGCUCCAAGGUGUGGGAACAUUUUGAGCAAAAUCUUGUGGAAGUGGAUAAUGGUUUUAGAACUGUUUGUGAGUAUUGUCGAAUGCAGUUAAGCACCAAAUCUGGAACUAGUAGCCUUAGAACCCACAUUUCUCAAUAUUGCCAUGCAAUUGGGGAAGCCGAGAGGAAUAGAUUCAUAGCAACCUUAAAGAAGCCCCUAAAGAAGCCAUGCAAUGGUUAUGGCACGCGAUUUCCUCACCAUUUCUCUCAGUACCGUUUCUUCCAAAUCUGCCUUUAGUCUUGGAGGUAGGAUUUUUGGGAAGUCAAGAAGCUCACUAACUCUGGAGAUGUUAGAAGCCCUUGUGUGUGGGAAAGACUGGUUAUUUAAGGAAAAGAUGCAGACAAUGAAGUUAUACCCUCAUUCUGUUUUUGACAUAUGUGACUUUACACAUUCUCAUGAUCAUUUGAAUUUACUUACCAUAUUAUCAUUUGCAUUGCAGGUGAAGAAAUUAGUGAAGAUCAGCCUACUGACAUGGUCACCUUUGUCACUCCAUCAGGUACAGCACAUACAUCCUGUUGUUUAUGGUAAACAUGCUUCAUUCACUGCCGACUAAGUAUGUUUUUUCAUCAGGUUCAAAUGUAUCAAUUCCACGUCAGGAUCUCAGUCAAGUUCCUACAUUCAUGUGAAGGUAACUGUGCUUUGCUUGUCACUCUAGCAUUAGAGAAUAAUAGUGUCCAUCUUGACUGCUUGCUGUGAAUUCUGUUCAGAUAUGAAACUUGCUAAUUCUAUCCUAGAUAGGCAAUAGCACCAGCCUAGUUUUGAUUAUGAUCAAGCUCAUCAUAUCUCAUCAUUCAUAUUGUUUCUGUUUACUGCUUAAUUAUUGCUUAUUAGCUUCUUGUGUAGUAGCUUCUUGUGCCAUCUGCUAGUUCUAGUACAUUAUCUUUGUCACCUUCAGAAAUGCUGCCCAAAGUUGACCUCUGUCACCUUCAGAUUCUAGAUUUGUUUAUUGUAGAACAAGCUUAACUAGUAUGUUAAUGUGAUUCCUGUAGGAUGACUAGUUGUUGUAAGAAUUUGUAAGAAUGAGGCAGUGAAAAUAAUGAUCUAGUCUGGGAUUUUCUGCAGUCACAAAAUUAUGAUAUGUAUACAUGUUCUUAGCUGAUUGUUUGGUGUUGUUUGUUAAAUUGCAGCCUUCUUGCUUGCUUGUUUGGCCCUGUCAUCAAAGCCUCACCUCUGUUGGACGCGCUUUUGUGAACACUCUUAGCACUGAAAUUUCAUCUGCAAGUUUGCAAAAUUAGACAAGAACAAGAACUGUAUUGUAUACUGAAGUUUAUUGUUAUAGAACAAGUUCAGUUUGUUCAGCUUGAAGUCUGCAGUGAGUGAAGUUCCCUGUGGUUCUAGCUGUUGGACACUUCAUCAUCAUACAAGCCCUUGCUGUUGCUGGAUUCAGUUUUUGUUUAACUUAUGACCUAGUGGUACCUUGCUUUAAUGUAGCUGAUGGCAUGUGUAAUUACCCUGCUUUAAUGUAACUGAUGGCAUGUGUAAUCAUCUGUAUAAGGUGGUUGAUUGGUUGAACAAGUUUAUUGGAUAAUCCUUGUAGGAAUGAUUGAGUUUGAACUAUGCUCAUUCGCCGUGCAUUUUCUGGUUUAUGUUUAUUUGUGAAACCAUUUUGCAUCUCUUCCCUCUCGCCUUGCUAUGUUUGAUGGAUAGCAACUUGCAGUGGGCAGUUCAACGGACAGCUAGUCUGCUAAUUUGCUUGGUCAGUAGCAGUCUGCAGAGCAAUCCGAGGGUGGGGAAAUGGGUUCUUAAUGAAUAGCAAGUUAUAGUUUGAUGGUUUGGUUUGUUUAGCAGUAGAAAUAAUGUAAGGCUCGGGGGGUUUGAUUACUGCUGGUGGUGGAUAGGAUUUGUGCGGGUUGUUUUUACUGGGCACGCAUAUAUGGAUUGGUGUGAGUAGAAGUUGGAUCUCAGCCCAAUUAGCAGGGCUACAUCAGGUACAAGCUUCAUGUGGGAGAGAUUUCGCAUUGGGCGAUGUCGAUCGCGGCUAGUUGCAUUGAGUGCAAACACUGGGACGGAGUGCAUCGAUCAAUUUGCCUUAAGAGGAGGGUUGAACAAACGCGAUUGAAGGUCUUGUCAACUCAAAUGCGCCGUAUACGUACGAGUGAGCAGCCUUUCUAUAUCGGGAAACGUAUGCUCUGCUUUUAGAGGGGUAAAAAGGUCAUUCAGGUGCUUUUCAACUCAUCAAGGACCUUAAUGGGGAUUUGGGGGACAACUUGCGGAUGAUAUAGAGACGUCCAAUUAACGCACGUGACAAAAAUGAUAAGAUUAUUUGGUGAUGCGGUUUAGUUGACUUAUUAGGGCAUGUCUAACAAUAUACUUACAAUGUACUCGGCUAACUAUAUAUCUAUAUAAGAAUAAGAUCGCUCAUGUCACUAGUAUAUUGCAUAAUACUCUCUUUUUGUCACGAUGUUUUUGCCCAUACCAUAUCAUGAUACAAGCAUUUCUCGUCUUUCAAAGCAUUGAAUUAGGUGUGAGUGAAAAUGUUAUUGUAAACAGCUAUAGUUUGAUAUUCUCAAUAGAUGGAUAUUUACCCCCAAAAUCAUGAGCCGACAUAUGAAACGAAGUACUGUAAUAGAUAACAUCUUCAAUUAAUAGUUGUAGCACAGUCUUGAUCGAUACCAAUACGAGUCCACGUACUUAAAUAGGGUUUUUUAAGUUUAUAUGCGUCUUGACUACUCUCUUUCAAUAAGGAUAAAAGAUGGCAUAUACACAUAUGGCAAAUACCUUUAUGGUGUUUCUUUCCAGUGUAGCGAUUUUAGAUCGCGGAGUAUCAAUGGAGAGGUUAUAGCGGUCAUUCUAUACACAUAUGUGUUAAUGUGCAUUAUCAAAUGUCUACAUGAGACUGGGUCAUGAGACUGGGUCACUAGUCGACAGAGUCACUGGUCGACAGAUCUUGAGAUUGGCAAAGUUGUCAUGGACACUUCGUUGUUGAUGUUCACUCAGCCUACCAUUGAAUACAUAGUAGGUGAAUUAUUGAGUACAUGCAUGCAUCCAGAUGACAAUAACCGACGAUAUAAUAUGGGAACAAUAUUUGGUAUUAUACGCCAGUAAAAAAACUUAGUCAAUUGAAGAGCCAGCCAACCAGCCCCCUUUGUUUUUUGUUUAUGGAGAGCAAAGACUCAGAUUUUUGUGGCCUAAAGAUUAACCAGGCCGUAUCCAAUGUUGUCCAUGAUGGGUUAAGAUUUAUAUAAUUCCUUUGGUAUAUAUGUAGCCUAACAGUAUAUCGUUACUAGGCAGGCUCCCAACAAAUUAGAAUAUAUACGUAAUUUACUUGACAUAUAUUAUUUACCUAGUCACUAACAAAUCUCUUCCUAGUUUCUAUUCACUGAUACAAUCAUGGGAAGUUCUUGCCAGUGAAUCUAAGUUACACUUACCUUUUCUAAUAACCCUACACUCACACCAAGUCAAAACAUUGGUAUGAGUGUAUCCACCUAGCUGGUACCACACACCCUCACCUCAAGACAGGUGUGCAUGCAAACAGUGGAUAUAUCAAAUCAUCUUGUAAUCCUCCUAGAACUGGACCCCCUAUAUCAACCCAUUUGAAAACAUCAAAUCAAAUCAGAAACGGGCAGCAGGCAGGUACACGAGAAGAGGAAAGAAUUGGCUAAGUCCAAGGAUGGAGUUGGAUGGCCCUUCAAGCUAGGGGUGUAGCUAUGCUUGCAGGUGGCAAGUUUUGUACUUGCUGGUCCCUGGCUGAAAAAAGAAAUGCACCUUUGGCAUUGGCCAUUGUGACAGUUGUCAAUUGUCAUGUAACAUUGCUGCUUAAACUAAUUAACAGAUAAUUACUCACCAUCACCAAUGGGUUAGGACCACAUACAGAUUUUUUAGAAUUAAUUGUGCAUAGUCCUUGUGCUAAUCUCCCUCACUUUCUGCAUGGCACAUGCACUUUGUUCCCUCCAGAUAGUGUGGUUAAGAUCUCACACCCCAAACUAGUUGGCCUAUGCUUCUGUUAUGAUGACCUCCUUUUUAUUUUCAAAAUUACUCCCUCCGUUCCAAAUUGUAAGUCAUUCUAAGAAUCUUGGAGAGUCAAAGUAUCUCAAGUUUGACCAAAUUUAUAUGAUAAUAUAAUAAUAUUUUUGAUGUCAACUAAGUAUCAUUAGAUUCUGUAUCAAUUAUAUUUUCACAGUAUAUCUAUUUGAUGUCAUAAAUCUUUAUAUUUUUCUCUAUAAUUUUGGUCAAACUUGAGAUAUUUUGACUCUCCAAGAUUCUUGGAAUGACUUACAAUUUGGGACGGAGGGAGUAGUUAAAUAACAGCAAUAGAUCGAGCAGCCUACAUCAAUAGAUAUCCACAACAACAAUUUCAGUUUUGAACUUUUGAUCAUAUCCGCAAUAGCAAUGUCAGCUAGCUUCAGAUAACCAUGGUGAAAUUGAAUCGGGGUAGAACAGAGUAACUAGUGCAAAGCAAUAUGCAUAAUUUAAUCUUAGCAUGCCAUUUCUUGCUUAAUUUCAGAGUUGAUUAUUAAUCUGUACUGACCAAUCAAAGGCCCAAUUUGCAAGACAGUGAAAGAGAUCUACAAGCAGGCUCUCUUUUCCCUCACACAAGUCAUACUAACAUGCCUUCAUUGUAAAGCUUCAUGCAUGAGCUCUUGAUCAGUACUCCCCCUCUUGUUAUAGUAAAACAUAAGUUGCAGAGAAUGUUGCAAAACCCUAGCCCAUAGGUUCCCCCUUUCCACAUUAGGGCAGCCAUCCCUAUCCUGCCUCCACACCACAGCCAUCAGCCACAUGGUGAGACAUGCCAUGCUACCCAAAUCAUCACCUUGUACCUUCAUGUGUAUAUAUAUUCCUCUCCUCUUUACACCUAAUUACACUAGCGAGCUACCUAGGCUCAUAUUUGCGCCUAGCUCCUCCACAGCUAGCUGCCUAGCUCUUCUCCUCCAUCACGACAAAGAUGGUAGGCAAGCCACAGCACCAUCACCAUGGCUCCUCCUCCCUUGGGGCAGAGGAGCUGAACCUCUUGCACAUGGCCAGGGGAUCCCCGGACGGUGGCGGCCGCGGUGGUGGCGAGAGCCGGGGCGCGCUGGGCCAGUGGAAGUGCAGGCUGCUGGGCUCCCUGGGCGGCCUCCUCCCACGGCGCGCGCGCUGCGUGGUGUGCCUGCAGGUGCAGCACGUGACCGGCCUGCCCCCGGCGGCGGAGGGGCGCGGCGUGGUGGUGGGGUGGCGGAGCAAGGGCGGCGAGGGGGAGCACACGGCGCCGGCGCGGGUGGCGCGGGGCGCCGCCGCGUUCGACGAGGUGUUCCUGCACUACUUCAGCGCCGGCGGCGCCACGCUGCGGAGCUUCACCGUGUGGGCCGCGCUCCUGGACUCGCCCGCCAACGGGGAUCUCGGCGCGUUCCCCGUCGACCUCACCGAGGUCGCCGCAGCGGAGACAUCCAACCCCAAGUUCGGAGGCAAGGUGCUCAGCUUCCCGCUCGGCGGGGCGGCGGCCGGUGCGGUGCUCACCGUCAGCAUCUACUGUAGAGUGAUGGAGCCCGAGGAGAACCAUGGAGCUAAUGGUAUGUUAUUGUUUAAUUAUUGAUCAUGAUGCAUAAACUCUUUACCUCUACUAUACAAUGCAAAUACAUGCAAUAUUCGUGUACACAAUAAUUUAUUCAUCAAAUUUCAAGUCCUUAAUUUCCUGAUGAAAUAAGCUAGUUAGUUUGUGAUCAGUGCUCACAUUAUAUGCUCGUGCAUGGUAGAAAGAACUCGAGAUUGUAGCUAGUUUUGAUGUUAGUGACUGGCGUUGAUGUAAAGAUGGCCUUGUGAACAUAUACACGAAAAAAAAUCAAAUAAACCCUAGUGAUUGAUGUGAUCAGUUGCAUCGUGGUCACGUAGGUCAUGCACGAGAGAAGAUGAAGAACAAGGGCAAGGGCUCGUACGCCUCCUGCCUGCCGGACCUGAGCUGCCUCCGCAACCGGCAGGUGGCGGCGGCGUCCGGAUCGGCGCGCCGUGCGACGUCCAUCCGCUCCGACCGCGGCGGCUUCAUCACGAUCGAGAACUCGGUGGCGGAGAUGGACGGCGAUGGCGCCGGCGGGGCGGCGGCGUUCCGCGUGGCGGAGGACGUGGACGAGGAAGGCGCGGGGUUCAUCACGAUGGAGAAGGGCACGGUGUCGUCGCGGUCGAGGCGGCCGCCGCUGCCGGACGCGGUGUCGUCGUCGGCCGACGAGGAGGACGAGAAGCCGUGCCUGUUCAUGGAGCUGUCCGAGGAGGCCGCCUCGGUGGCGUCGGCGUUCGACGUGGACAAGGUGGAGGACGAGUUCCUGGCGAUGCUGGAGGACAAGUACUGGGCGCGGAGCAAGGAGAUCGAGAAGGGGCUGAGCGUGAGCCUGGACAUCGGGCUGGACCUGGGCCUGGACCUGGACUCGCUCAUCAAGGACGCCGAGAUGGAGCUCGCCAAGGCGGAGCAGGCGUGGAAGAGCAAGGUCGGCGCCGCCAUCGUGGAGGAGGAGGAGUACAAGGAGCUCGUCCGGAGGUGGAGCGCCAGGGAGACCACUAUGAACUCCCACUCUGCCGCUUCCACCGGAUGCUCCUGGGGCUUUGGAUUCGGGAGCCCAAUAUAAUCUGAGAGAGCUAGUUACCCCCACCUCGAUUAUUAAUUUUUCGGUGUACUAAUGUUUACUGUCACAUGAAUAUGUUGAUUCAGAAAUGUAUUGCAAUUUGCCUGCUGUAACAUUGGUAAAAAGGACAAAAGAGAAAUCAUAAACUGGAUCACAUCGUCAUGUUGGUUCUUCAAUCAAUUCUUCUCUCAGCUCAUUGAUGACAUGCACACGGGCUAUUUGAUCUCUGCUCAUAGGCAGGCAGUCUUCGUAUAGCUAAAAAAACUGGGCAGGAAAAUCAUGCAUACAGCCAAAGCUAGCCGACCUGGUGCAAUGUCUCUGAUUAUAGGGCAAAGCAGGACGAGUGUAUGGGGAUCCACCAGCAGAGCCGGUCCCCACAGGCCACAUAUCAGCAGGGCCUGAUUUCAUGCCCCUCCUACCGUGGAUUACACAUACGUGUUCACAGAUUUCAACAGCCAGGCGAGCCUUUCGACGCUGCAGGUUCCAACGAAUCAAAGUGCGUCUCAACAGAACAGACAAGAUGUCCACAAGUACCAGUAAAGCAUCCGCGGAUAAAUUCCACGUGUAGUUAUUUCACACAGGCCACUGAAAAAUGAAACACACCCGAAAAUGCCGAACCACGUCAUUGCCUACCUAGCUAAAAUUAUACAGGUUACACAAUAUAUGGGAUUCAAAAGACAAAAUUACUCGCCAAAAAUGAAGCUACUUGAUAGAUGCAAGCUGCCCCUACGCUAAAGAAAUGUUUCUGUGUACAGGUACAACAAAAUAAGCAAUCUACCUGGGCUGGCCCUGGAUCUUGAAAACCUGCAGGACCCGCUGCCAAGAAUGGUCCCCGAUUACGAUGGGUAAUGGCAGAAGUUCAUACAAUUUGAUUGGUACGAAAACCUCCCUUCCACCUAUUUUGCAACCGUGAUGUGGUUUUCUAAAUCCCAUACCACAAUCUUACCAUCCAAUCCUGUAAAGCAUGUGGUGAGGAAUGUCAAAACGUGUUCAAACAAAGAGCUGGGAAGCAACUGGGAAGUUCAGCUAUGUAUAUAGUAUUAUAAACCUGAUGUGCUGAACCGUUUUAUAGUACCGUCCCUUCCUUUUGUCAACGGCACGAUACACCUGAUGAUAUGAAGAAAUUAUUAGUCUAUGUCAGAAAUAAGAGCACAUCACUGGAAGUACCAAAAUAGAGAUGAAGAGCUAAAGGGUGUACGUUAUGCAAUUCUCAUGGGCACCACCUCGCGGCUUUGAUGGUUCAACAGUGUCGCUACUAGUCCCUUGCUUUGAUUGGCCAUAUAGCUUUCCAAGGGCUUCAGAGAGCUGAAAUAUAUAUUUUUUCUGUAUUAGUUUCUGUGUGAUGUUGACUUGGUGAGUUCAACUCAGUCUAAGUGUCAUUGUCAUUGAUCAGAACUUCAGCAGUACUAUAGCCAUCAAGUUGCAGUCAACUACUACUAAAUUAAAUUUUAUAGCCCUGAGAAAGCUCCAUGUAACUACGUUUAGCAUUCAAUAAAGCCAAAUUACACAAAUAAGCAGUAAUUGCUAGAUAUAACAGCAGAGUGCAAAAAAAAAAGGACUUACACUGGUCACUAUCUGCUGAGUAAGUACCAAUUUUCCUAACCAGUACAAGAACUAGAUUGGUUUGGCAUCUAAAUAGGUCACAAGCCACGAAAUAGAUUGCUUGUGAACCUUUUUGACAAAGAACUCCAUUUCCAUAAUUCCAUUAGGGCCUGCUUGGAACAGCCCAAUUCCAGCCCACCACUGGACUGGACCGGGAUUGGGUGCAUCUAAACAAAGCCUUACCAAGAACCAGCAGCAUAAAGGUCUGGACAUACUUUACGACUGAAAAGAAAUCCUGAAUCAGAUAGCCCACCAAACUGUUUUUGCAGGCAGGGCCUGCAAUAUAGAAGUAGCAACUAGAGGCAAACUGGCCAUUGGCAACUCUUGCAACAUUUCUGUAUGAGCAAAUGAACGACAAAGUUCAAACCAAACUCCACAAUUCAGGAAAUUGUUGGUUCGCCAAACACUUACCCAUGCAGGAAAAAGCAACCUUUUGGUGAACAAGGAGUGAAUAGCACCCUCAUAUAGUAGCAAAAUAGCAUCAAAGGUAUAAUGUGCAUAACCAUCCACAAAAACAAAUAAAAAAUAGGGAAGAAAAAACAGUAGACCUGUGAGGCUUUUGAAGUUGAUGGGGUAGCUUUCCUCUCAUCCAAGAAUCUUACAAAACUCCUACACGACAAAAGAUGUAGCUAUGGUGAAAAGAAAUAUGGACAUAAAACACGGAAAGGCUUGGGUCAUGGAUGAAAAUCAGAGCUAAAACCUGUAGAAAUGUUUUUGAUCAAAAAAGAGCAAUGGAGAAUUUUGCCAGGUUACUGAGACUAAAAGAAUUAACAGACUUAAAGUAUCCAUAGCAAUUAACAUUAUUUGUGAAGGAAGCAAUGACUCAAUUCAUAGCACAUCAAGAAUAAAAGGGAAAGGAAAUAAAAGAAUAUAAGAAAGAGCUGCCACAUGAAUAAAGAGCUCUGCCACAUGAAUCUUCACUAACCAAAGCCCAGUCUGAUCUGCAGCAAAGAUCAUAGGAUUGCAGUCAAAUCCGACACCAAUCACCAUGCGUUCAGAGACAAAAAGAACCUGAAAGUUUGAAGAGUUGUUCAACAUUUGAAACUCAGAAAUCACCACAUGCAACUAAAUAGUAUCAGAAGGGAAAAUGCUGACCCACAUCACGGAGAGGCAGAUCUCGCAGCGUCAAAUUUUGUGCUGCAGGAGCCGAUUCAACUUCAUCAACGAAAUAAAUCAUGGAGUUGUGCCCUGGCAAUCAAAUUAAAUGUCAGCAGAACAGCACGGUUGCUAUGCAUAACAAAUAGUAUGGUGAAAAAUGAUGCAGAUUUGACAAACUCUCAAUAACAAGAAUCUGGUAGAGGAGCAAGAACCUGCAUAGGCUAAUGUUUUUCCACUUGGUGACCACCUUACACCAAAUGCCCAAGUAGAUGAUAGAUCAAGCUGAGCAAUUUGCUGCAUCCAAACAGGAGAAGAAUUUUAAAAGGAUAUAGACUCACUUCCACAGGAAAGAAAAUAGAUUUAAUGUAAAGCAUUGUUCUCAUCAUGGAAAAAAUAAUGAUCUACCCAAAUUCUAUGACACAUGAAAGGAUUUGGGGAAGCAUUCGCACAAAAAUAUAACUCAGCGUAAAGUUAAGGUUAGCUUAGCUCAUGAGCAGAUGAAGUCUUAUUUUCAACAGUGCAUAAAUAGUCGGUAUACUUGAAAAUUUUGCUACUACUGCCAAAAGUUAUAGAUGCCCAGUUGUGUGUCAUUAGCCUAGCAAGUGAUGCGACAAAUAAAUGGGGAAACAUAUCCGAACAUUGCAAAGGUACAAAUGCGAGAGAUAUAGUUACAUUCAACAGAUGGGAUAAUAUUGAAUGGAAGGAUUUUUUAUAAAAAAAAUACCUCUCCAAAUUUUGAAUCAGUUGGAGUGCUCGAUUGUGAUCCCCUGAUCAGAAGUGAAAUAAGGUAUGAGACAAAUAAAGCAUUUUGAAGAUCCUAGAUUAAUAGUAGAUGUAAGGCUAUCAUGUUCCACCUUGUAUCCACACCCUUGAUGAAAGUUGAGAAUACUCUGCAUUUACCAUCAGUAGACGUUGUUGCAAGAUAUAUCUGAAGACAAUAGCAACCAAACCAACAUUACAUUCAAUGGGAAAAGGCCUUGGUCCACAUGAACAACAAAAAUAACUUCAUCACAUUCUUUAAUAUUUUUAUGGCCUCGAUGUUAAAUGUUCUAAAAAAUGGCAGAAAUACGCCACGAGAAAACAUAUUGAGAACACCAAAAAUAAUCGUGUCAUAAAUUCCCUACUGAAGACUCUCAUUACUUUAAAGGGGAUGCUAAUAAUAAACUCACAUUGUUUGGAUGCCAAGCGAUACUAGUGACAGAAGAUUCAUGCCUUUUCCUGAUAACCUUGCUAAUCCACCUGUAGCACAGCACAGGAUAAAGACAGUUAAAGAUACACAUCAAGAAUGCCAAUAUGUCACAUCAAACUCACUAACUGCAAGAACUAAUCAGUAUAAAACAUGCUCAAUGGCUCAUCAGUCACCAAUUGGGAUGUACAACACAAGAUAAUGGAAAGCUAAGGUCAUCUAGAAAAUGAUGGUCGAUAGAUGAAAAGGGUAGGUAACUGGGGACAAAUACCAGUUGUUUUCUUGUUCAUAGUAGCAAAUACACACAGAUUUGGCGCCACUUCCCACAGCAAACUUGUUUUCUGCAAACAGUACAAUAGCAUUCUAAGAAAAAAUGUAAUAGUCACUCAUAAAAGUAAAUAUAAUAAACAACAAAGCACCGUACUCAAAAUGUAUUUCUAUCACAUGUUUAGCUUACAAGUAAUACAUUUUUUCAAUAUGAUCAGCAUGGUAUUGCAGCAAAAUGCGGAAGCAGGGCCAAGGUAAUAUGAGUUACUAAGGUAACUAAGUAUUUCAUAUGUUAGCAUCACAGGAAAGAGAAAUAUGUUAGCAUUACAGAACUCAACUAAGGUCAGUAGUCAGUUGCUUAUUACUUAAUUUUGAGCUAUCAUCUAUUAAGGAACCAGGUGAGCACAAGCUGCAAAGAAAUAAAAUAUUGAACUUCAAAAGUCUCAUAUUGUGUGUGGAACAGAAGGGGAGAGCAUUACACUUGGAUAAUCCAUUCAUUUCACCAAUAGGGUUUGAAAAUGUCCAGUUUGUAAAACAGAAUGUGAAGGGAAAAUAAAAAACUAACCUUUCGGGCUCCAUUGAACACAUAAAGCUGCACGGUUUAACUUUAGGAUAACAAGGGUAGGCACCCAAUCAGAUCCUUCUUGUGUCCAAACAUAUCUGCAGACAAUGAAAGGAAAAUGAAAAAUAAAUAUGCAUUUAUUAACUGUUAGAGUACGAAUAAAGACACAACUUCAAGAAAUCUGCACUUUGGCGUAUACUUACGAAUUCCUAUCAUGUGAAACUGUUACAAUUUUGUUGGAUGAUCUACUCCAAUCUAUUCCCGAAACUAUUUGAUCAUGCUGCAAGAUAUAAAUAUAAACAGAAAUAAGAUAAUGGAUUGCAUUCUAAUAGGCAGCACAAAAAGAUUCCUUGUGAGAAUAAACAGGAAUAUUUACCUUUGACAGAACAUGAAGUUUCUCCCACUUGUCUUUGAUAAACUUAUAAAUAUGCAAUUCAUUGUUGUUUGGACAAAAGGCGAUCACUGGAAGAGAGAAAAAGUUCCCAGUCGAAUUAAAGAUCAAACUCCAUGAUAGGUGCAAUGACAAAAUGGUAAAAGUGGCCAAUGCCAUGUAUGUUUAGCUGUAUUAGAAUGCAAGCAAAAAUUUUUUCUUAAAUUGCACAGGGCUGUUUGCAAUUGCAAGCAGACACAUCAUCUACUAUGAAGCAUUUUCCUACAAACAAUAGAAAUGACAAAGCAACUUGGCAGUAGUGGAAAGCUAUGAUUUGUUUGCCCAUUUCAAGGUAAAUAUUUAUCGCAAUAAUGAAUCCCAUGAUCUAUUACUCCUACAGACUAUUAACACCAUAAGGAAAAUACUUAAUAUAAAAAGGAAUUCAAGGAUUUAUUCACCCAUUCCAAGUAACUCACACACUUCUCAAAGAGUACUUGGGCAUUAAAGUAAAUACUAUGCAUAUUUAGUGGUAGUAGUAGUAUGGUUUUACAUGCUCCUCUAUUAACAAUAGUAGUAGGAUAGCAAAACGGAGUUAUACUAGAGCAAAAAUUAAACAAAAAGGUGUCUUGAGAAGGUGCCUAUGGCAAACACUGGUCCAUUUCACUUUAUAACCAUGCCAAUUCGACAAUUCCCCAAGAUGGUCCAUGGAGGAAGACACAUUCAUAAGUGUACAAAAGCGCAGGAGCUACUGCUAGGAAGCAAUAUUCAGGUAUACCACUACACGUCUCAUCACCAUUAACUGAAUCCAUCAAAUUUUCGUUUAACUUGACAUUUCGUAUUAAACUUUCAUGAGGCACAAUUUAAUUACGGUUCAGCUUAACAGAAAACAUCUCAAACGUCAAAUCCAAAUGGCAGCAAUACAUAGCUGUACAGAAAAAUGGUGAAAACCAUGAGCAUCCCUCAACAAAAUAGUCCGGUAUCUGAUUGGUCGUGGAACAACCCUUAGACAUGGCAAUUAGCAUUUGAUCCCCACGGACGACAUAGGUACUAAUCCCGCACGAACCGAAACCCUAGGAAUCCGAUCCUGAACCCCACGUGCACUAUUCCGAAGCCCCCGUGCCUGGUUAACCAACGAAAAGAGCCAGCCGCGGCGAUUCAGAAUCGAAACCGAAUGGCGCCCGUGGAGCGCGAGAUCUAGAGACGGGGGGUGGAGGGGAGGGGCGUUACUCGACUGGUCGGGGCUCCAGGCGUGGCAGGUGAUGCACUCGGCGAACUGGUGGAUCGCCACCGCCGCCGUCGCCGCCAUCGGGGACGCGAGGCGAGGGGUGAGGCCUGUGGGGGGCGCUCGAGGCUGGUGGGACGAAAUGGUCGACGCGAGAAGAAGAGAGAGGUGGAGUGGAGGCGAAGGGAAGACAAGGCAGGGGAGAUGGAAACGCUCGCUCCACAACAACACUAUGCUGCUAGGCCGUUAGGCACUGCCUGCUGCCUCUUGCUCCAUUUGCAAGUGGCGAGACUGAUAGGAUGGGCGCACGCACGCACGGCCCGCGGAGCCCACCGGCCCACCAGGCAAUAGCAGCAGCGAGGGCCCACUGCCGUCUGCUCACUGGCUCUUGUUGCUCAUUCCUCCUCACACGCUGCCGCGUGGACCCAACAAGGCAAAGCUGUCUGAUAGCCUUGGGUAGUUACUGUUUGGUGUUGGCAUCGGACAACACCUGCCCUUCAAUGGUGCUAUGAUGUGUCUGCUCAUUCAUCUCGUCUUCAUCAUUGACAUAGCCAGUAGCAAAAUCAUGCUCAUCACCAUUAGCUUCAGGCCCAGCUCAUUUCAAGUUAGAAAAAUAAAAUAAAAUAAAAUAAAAGGUGAGAGAUGGGAGAAGAAUCCCCAUCUUUCGCUUUUGUACAAACACUUUCUUUUGUCCCGGCCAUCGGAAUAUAGCUGCAAUCAUUGUCCCGCAAGCUACGGUGGAGUGAUAGCAGCUUCUCCAUCAUCACGUCUACUAUUAUUUGUUCUCUGGACGCUUUUCUUUUCUGUGGUUUUCAGAUUCUCUGAACGCUUUUUCGCAAAAGAUGACCACAUGUCUUGUGAGUGAGACACGAAUGAGACGAGCCUACACGCUCACACACGGGCUGACUGCCUGGUGUGUCCCAAAGGCCGAUCCAUUUUGGGCCAAGAUGGAAGGUCCAGUUCAUGCCAACCUUUUGUUGGGCCGGGGUGCAUCCGGUUCGUUUCUUCUCGAGUGUGUACUGCGCGCCUGCGCACCUUGAAUUGCAGGCUUUCAUGGAUCUCUCUCACGUGCGCGCACACAGGGAGAGGAGCACGAGCAAGAAGAUGAGCAGAGCUGUGGAGCACUUGCCUAGAUCCGGGUCUGACACUGAGAACAUGCACGACAAGUUCAACACAUGAGCAGGCACAUGACGUGGGGGAAUCUUUGGAUCCCUUGGGACCGAGGUUUCGCCAGGACACACGUUACACGAUUGGCGAUUCGUUAAAAAAAACAUACUAGCAUUUCUGGCAAAGCACUGCAACAAAAUGUAUAAAGAAAAAAAAAGCUUUGCAUACAUAAUCCACUUCACUUGCAUCGAAGUAUGCUACACAGAAAACACCAGGGCCACGUCGUUGUGCGCAGCGUCGCCUCGCAUUUUUCGCUGGCUCCAUCUCCUUGUCGCCCGGGACGGGGGAGGGGCCCGCGUGCCAGCGGCACACUCACCGGGAACAACUGCCAGAACAGGAGAGCGCGUGCCUUUUCUCACUCCAGCUUUGCUUACCCCACCACCAGGCGUCCUACCCCACCUGUCAGGCACCACAAGGUCGCGGUCGCCGGUGGACGGGGACCACAAGAUUACCGCACAUCCCACGUGACAUGGUUCCUCCAACUCCCACUGCAUGCGGGCCCCGUACAGCCCGGUCCACCUGUCCGUCGCGGGUGGCGCCAGUUGCGGCCAGCGAGUAGAAAUACACAUCCACACACACACCUCCACUGCCUUGACUUGUUCAGUUCCGCUUCUCUUCGUCUUCCUUCCUCCCCCCACCUCGCGCAGAUCGGAACGGUGCACGAGCGGGCGAGCCAAGAGGGAAGGGAAGGAGGUUAGGCGGAGGGGGCGAGGCGAGGAACCAGGCAAGAUGCAGUACAAGAACCUGGGGCGGUCGGGGCUGCGCGUCAGCCAACUCUCCUACGGCGCCUGGGUGACCUUCGGCAACCAGCUGGACGUGAAGGAGGCCAAGGCGCUGCUGCAGGCGUGCCGCGACGCCGGCGUCAACUUCUUCGACAACGCCGAGGUCUACGCCAACGGCCGCGCCGAGGAGAUCAUGGGCCAGGCCAUCCGCGACCUCGGCUGGCGCCGCUCCGACGUCGUCAUCUCCACCAAGCUCUUCUGGGGCGGCCAGGGGCCCAACGACAAGGGCCUCUCGCGGAAGCACAUCGUCGAGGGGCUCAAAGGCUCGCUCAAGCGCCUCGACAUGGACUACGUCGACGUCGUCUACUGCCACCGCCCCGACGCCUCCACGCCCAUCGAGGAGACCGUCCGCGCCAUGAACUGGGUCAUCGACCAGGGAUGGGCCUUCUACUGGGGCACCUCCGAGUGGUCCGCGCAGCAGAUCACCGAGGCGUGGGCGGUCGCCAACCGCCUCGACCUCGUCGGGCCCAUCGUCGAGCAGCCGGAGUACAACCUCUUCUCGCGACACAAGGUCAGUCAAAUCUCCCAUUCCAUUCCCUCGAAAUCUCGAUUCCAUCCACGAAUAAUGCGGAUUUCACGCCAUGGAUUCCGUGCAAUCAAUCCCAAGGUGGAUUCCACGCCUUGGAUUGGUACUUGUCGCGCGCUGUUGAGCCGUACUUGCGGAUUUGGUCGUUGAUGGGGAUCCUAAAUAGGAGUAAUAAGUUCCUCCAGUAGAAUGGUCAAUGGAUAUAGUAUUCAGUUAACCGUACUCGCUGGAUGUGGUACUCCCCUCUGGGAGGGAUGUUUUUUUUUUCAUGUCCCGGGACGCAGGACUGUUGAAACGCGAAGGGGAUAUUUGGUUGAUUUAAUUGGAAUUCGGUACAAUUGCUGCUGCUGCGAAAGUAGAUCAUCAUGGUACCUUGACUCUGGGUUGGAAUCAUACUUGUAUUAGGUAACGGUUCUUAUUGGCAUUUACUCAGCUCUUUGAUGAGGCAAAGUAGAUAGUUGGACGGGAAUGGCGUCCCCCAUAGAUUCUGUUUUGUAUGCACGCAUGGUCACAGAGUAUGUUCUCUCCAUCAGCAAGGUACCUGGUUUGCUCAUGAGAGCAUUGGUUUGUUGGGAUGAAGAUGACAGAUCCCCUUCCUCAUCGACCUGAUAGCUCGGAUAGUAUGAUAACUAUCAAUCCAUUUCCCCGAGUGUGACUACUAAAAAUCUAAUCUUUCCUGAAGGAACCUACAGCUCUGCACAGCUCUAGGAAUACUGUAGCUACCAAACUAGACAGCCAUGGCAACCAGGCAUUGUCGUGUAUGCUUUUGCACCAUGUAGAAUGCCAGGCAUAUAAGACAGCUCAAUGCUGAUAAUGAAAUGAAUGCUGUGGUAUAACAACAUGGUAUGGAGUUAUGGACAGCUAGACCGGAAGGAAUAUGCUUUUAUGCUAACAUUAAAAACUUAAUUUGAUCUUUAGUUUCAAUCAAGCCGUCAAUUUAGUAUAUGGUUUAAACUCACUAUCAAACAGGAGAAGGCACCAACCUAUCGCUGUCAAUGUUGCAUUCAAUUAGUUGGUAGUUGUCAGGUUAGGAGCUCACUAAACAAAAUUAUACAAGUCAUGCAAAUUGCCUGUGCAAGUUGUUGUUCCUUUUUUAAAUUCUUGCCUUAAGUGUUGCAGCUGGGAUGCAGAAGUGUUACGAAGUUCAGGAACACACCUUGGUUAAAGCUACAGCAAUAACAGCAUAAUGUUACACAAAAAAAAAACAUAAGAUUCGCCAGUGGUGUAUGGAUGUAACCAGAGAUAAAGAGAACUGUACUCAGACCAAACUGGAUGCAGUUGUCUUGGAAUGCAAGCAGGGGAGGGAUCUUUCUUGGUUGGUUCCUGAAUAAUCAUGGAAGCCUGGGAAAUUAAAUCACAUUACCUAUGGUGUUCCAAAUGAAACAGCAAUGUUUGGACGGAAAUUGAAACAGCAAGUUAUGUAGUCUAGCUUUUAUAGGAGCUUCUAAUCUGCAUCUUGAGAGUCUAGGGUAGGUUAUAUGUUUGUCGGUCGUAGGGUACUCUACAUCUGACUUGCAAUAAGUCUGUUGCUUCUCAUCCUUCAGUUAUAUUAUUUUAUAACUUUGUUAGGAUUGCUCAAUCCCAUGUCCAUUUUACAUAAAAAGUUCAGCGGCAUAAUAAAAAAAAAUGUGAGUUUGAAAUAGUAACAGGUUUGCCAUUCAUUGUUGUGAAAAUAUUAGUUCAUUUUUAGUCUAUGUAGUGAAUCAGAUACAAUUUGUUGCAUGCCUAAUCGCGCGAUUCACACCAGUUUGGCUGGUCAAUUUCCAGUAUGAGACUUUCUGAUAUGGAACUGCCAUUUUUCACUAUUAAAAGCACCCGUAUUUAUUUCUGUCUGUGAUAUUCCUCCUCCUUUGUGUGGACAUAUUCUAUUUGAUCGCAUGGUUCAAUAGUAAACACCAUUUACUCUUGAAUGAUUUCCAAAAGUUUUGUUUGAAAUAUAUCAGCCUAUGCAUGCAGUUUGCCUUACAAAGAGCGCUGCUUUUCUGCAGGUUGAGUCCGAGUUCUUACCUCUUUACAGCACCUAUGGCAUUGGUUUGACUACUUGGAGUCCUCUGGCUUCAGGAGUGCUUACCGGAAAAUAUGGCAAAGGGAACAUACCUGCUGAUAGCAGGUUUGCCCUAGACAAUUACAAGGUAAUUUUUUAUAUUAAGCCAGUACUUUGUUUGAAGAGUUUUUUUAGGAGGCUUAAGACAGUACUCAUGCCCUUAACUACUAGCAAUUCUUAAUACCAAAACUUUAAGGUUUGCUCCUUCAGCCUCAUAAUAUGUUUAUCUCUGUGUCUGUGAGCACAUUAGGAUACUAUUGCUACUAUGGUGCUAGCGAAUAAAAUAGCAAAACAGCCGAUUUCCAUUGACCAACAUUGUUUCAACUACACUGCUAUUGAAUCAUGGCGUAAAACACUAAAACCCUUAACUGGUGUAUCAAUUAUGCUAAUGAUUAGACGUUAGUUUAUGGUUGGCAGAUGCCACACUGCAGAAUCAAUUAUUUGAAUGUAACAUAACUUUGCAGGAACUAACCUUUUCCUUAGCAGCUACUAGUUCAGUUCUUCUUUAUUAACUUUUAUCUUAAGUUUACUAAUAUGUAUUCUGUUAUGCCUUCUGAGUAUUUCAUUAUAGCUGAUCCGUUUCAUGUACCUUGGGUUUCCAGAACUUGGCAAACAGAUCCCUGGUCGAUGAGACGCUACGGAAAGUGAAUGGGUUAAAACCUAUUGCUGCUGAACUUGGUGUUUCAUUAGCUCAACUUUCAAUUGCUUGGUGUGCAUCAAACCCCAAUGUCUCUUCUGUGAUCACAGGAGCCACUAAAGAAAGCCAGGUACAUUUUGCACAACUUCUGUUCCGCAGAGAAUUUUUGCUUAGUUAGGCAAGCAUUCCUAAACAGGUAAUAUUAACCUCCGGCCCAUUGGCAACUGCAUGAACAGAUUGUGGAGAACAUGAAGGCUCUUGAAGUUAUUCCUCUGCUGACUCCGGAGGUGAUCGACAGGAUUGAGGCAGUGGUCCAAAGCAGGCCGAAACGCACCGAGUCAUACAGGUGAAGUGGUACAGACUGCAGAAUGAGUGCCAGGGAGGGAUUCGGCAUUCAUCUGAUUGAGUUUAGGCCAUGCUACCUCACCAGCGUUUGAUGUCAUGGAACUAUAUGCAUGCUUUUGUGUAUUCUCGGUGUCCCGGUCGUGGUGCUGUGUUCCAAACAUUUCCCAUGUGGUGACCACUUUGUGGUCACAGACAGCAGUUUGUCCUGUGUGUAUUCUGCAUUUCCCGGUGGCAUCUAUUCCGAUUCCUGGUAUGCCAUGUUCAGCUUGGACCAUUCCCACCGGCAUCGUUGUUGCUUCCGAAAUUUAUCGAGGACUCUAUAUGAUCCUUAACUGCUGGUUGUGCUGCAAGAUUUCUGGAGUGUGAUCCUCUGUUGUAUCAGCUCAUUCUGUUGCUUGCAGUUGCAGGAAUUUCCUGUCCAAUCUUCUGGAGGGAAAAAGGGCAGUACCGGCUCAAAGGAGAUUCUUUUCAUUCCCAUCGGCGUGCUGCUGCUGCGCCUGCAGAGGCAACGUACGGAGUAGCUUUCAGGCUGCUGUUCAAAUGUGCGAUCGCAUUUGUCCAUUCGCAAGGUAGGUUCAGAGGCACGCUCAGGCACCGCACAGCCACGAACAGCAGCAGCAUAGUGAGCUAUCAACAGCAGCCUCGAAGGAGCUUUCAAGAGGCGCGCAAAUGGCGCUUUCACUUCACAUUUUGUCUCCCCCGGUAGUUGGAAUGAGAGACCACAAUAACUUGCACAAUACUGUUCGGCGCUGCGAUUGAGAAUCGGAUACGAACGCAAAUAUGAAACAGCAGAACAGAACGGAAACAACCGACACUUUGGAUAAAAACAGUGUGGGCAAAAGAGACGGAGUAGAUGCUCAUAGCCAUGAAUGAGAAGAGCUCAAAGAAGGCGCCAAAGGGCAAUUGAAAAUAGAACAUAACACAAGAGACAGCAGAGGCUUUCACAGCUUUUACUAUUUCCACUAGACACAAGUAAUUCCCACAACUAUGCCAAGGAUACGGACUGCUCUUAUGUGAUAUCAGACACAUUUCAAGCUUCACCAGCGGUAUAGCUCUCCAGCAACAGCGCCCCAUCGGCAGUUUUCAAGCUCUGCCUCUUGUGCAAGCUGCACUUCUGUGAACGCCUUGGAAUCGUGGACCUGCAGUACAAUGAUUGGAAAUUUUGGCAUCAAAACAAGGUAGAAUCCAAGUGCAUAAAUCUUGUCUGAUUACGGUGCUAUAAAACAGUAGAUAACCAGAAUGCCUUAAACCUCCAGAUUCAACUAACUGGGAAAUACAAACAACAAUCCAUUUAACUAGAUUCCUGCCAGAUGUUUACUAUUGUUUGGGCUGAAGAAGAAAGACAAGAAUCUAACCAAGACCGUUGUUGGCAUCUGAGGUCCUCAUGAUCUUGAGCCUCUUCACUGAACCUACAAACAUCCUGAAGAGGAGAACAAUAAGCCUCUGAAAGAGCUAUUUAAAGACACUUUGAGAACAGUUAACAUUACAAUAUAGUUUUUAACUUAUUUCUAACAUAGUGUAGGGGACUUACUCCCAGGGAACAUCUCCAACGAGCAUCCAGUCCCCAUCCCGGUCCUCAUAGGUGAGCUGAUAUUCCGAUGAGCUGUCCAAUAGAUUCAGAGACUUUGCACUACCUGAUAAUGUCAUGAUCAAUUCAAAUCAGGUUCAGGAAUGAGUGCAGAAAAGGCAUUCUCAAAAGCUUAUGAAGCCACAUUUAGAAUAGUGUCACUUCUUAAGUAUAUUUUUGAGUAUACAGCCCACCAUAUAUAGACCCCAAUGCUGUAGAUCGAUGAAUUGACAAAUCAAUUGAAUAGUACUUAAGAGUUUCUGAUUCAUUGUAACAUUACCAUUUGCAAGCAAUACUACACUUCUUAGUGAUGGUUGUCAGAAAAAGAAAAAAGAGAUCGACGGCAUAUAGGUUGACGUGAUCAGAAUACACACUAGACUAUGAUAGAUAAAGUAAAGGAUCAGAGUAUGACAUACUAGAAGUGCAGAGACCGAUGGACGGCUUCAUGAACAUGAGCUCAAGUGCUGAGGCAAGGGUCUUAUAUGAGCGAUGGGCAUUGAGAUCCACCUUCCUUCCGAUAAUAUCUCCAUCCAUGUUCACCUUCACCCAACCGACGACCCGUCCUUUCUUCUCGCUCUCCUUGUCUUUCUGCAUGCCUGAUUCAUCGGCAGCCUUCUUGGUGCCAGCCUCUGAAGCAUUUUCUUUGGCCUGGUUGAAUAGGCUGUUCAUCCUGAAAGUUCUUAUGGGUGGCCAUCCCACCACUCCAAAGCUGCUACCAAAUCGGAAAAUGCAGUUCAGAUUAGUUGAAGCUGAUUUGGGCAGCUCGGCAAGGAAGGAAAUAUUCCUUGUUUCAGACAAAAUAUUAGGAUACUGUUUUCUUGUCAAGAAAAUUUUGAUGAUUGCAGAUCUGAAGGGCAAUGCAACCAACAAAAGUCUCCUUUAUAUUCUCCCUCGAGUUUUGCAGGAUGCUCAUGUUUUUUUUUUAAAAAAAAAGGAAGUUUCAAUAAUGGAAACGAUGCAAAUUAGGUAGCUUUGGCAGGAAAAAAAAUUAACUAUAGGAGUUGUGUGCAUAAACAAGAAAGAAGGUUUAUUUCUGAAGGGACGAAUUAAGUGUAAAUGCACGGUGACGCCUCCUCCUACCGUCCUACGAUCCUAACAAGAAGCAGAACAAGUAGGCACUUAUAGAGAUUCCAACUUUUUCCCUUGAAAGAGAAAGUGCAUGCUCGCAGCCGUUGUUCUGCAUAGAUGCAGAAGAGCUGUUCUUGCUGCUCACCUCUGCGGGUGGCCAGAGGCGACCGUCCCCGGCGAGGUGGUGGCGUUGGGCGCCGCAUCCGCCUUGGCCCUCUUGCUGGCCGCCGCCGCCCCUGCGGCAGGGGAGGAGGACGACACGGAGGAGUCCGGAGACAGGGCUCCCGGCUGCAGGUCCCUGGCCGUCAGGAUCCGGCACGGUGCCGGCGACGGGGUCUGCUGCUGCUGCUGCUUCUUGGAGCCUAGGCAGAGCCCCAGCUCCAGCUCGUCGUCCUCCUGCUCCUCCUCCUCCUCGCCGCCAGAGUUCUCCUCCACCUCCUCCUCCGCCGCCGCAUCCGGAGGCGGGUCGCCGGCGAUGAACGCCACCGUGGGCCCCGCUCCUCCUCGCAUCGCGCUGCUCUUGUUCUUGGCUCAGUGACUGCGGCGAUGGUGUGUGUGUGUUUUGGGAGAGACACCUCGAGAGGGAGGAAAGGAGCUGUUACUAUUAUCUGAGCUGAGCUGAGUUCUGGGUAUGCGUGCAGGGCAGUAUAGGAAGCUUUCGCCUCCUGCAAUCCUGACUCGUGGGCCCUGCAGUGCCGGGUUAGCCCCUAAUUGCUAGGAGCACCAGCGGCCACUUGUCUAAUGUACCGCUUGUUGGAUUUAUCAAGUAGUAUAUCAUUUCCAACAAUAAAUUGCUAUAUGUAUUUAGAUGUAGCUAAAGAAAAAAGUCAUAAACCGUAUUUUUCUUACGCAAAAGAUGUUAUCUGCAUAAUAGUUUUACACUCUUUUGGCACGAUAAUGAUAUCGGUAGCUUCAUUUUGGUUACAUGGACUUUUUAGUGGUCAUAUAGAAAACUCGCCAAUGCAUGGAAAAGCAUUAAAACUGAGGAGAAAUAGCGUUGGGCAUUCAGGAUGCACUAUAAAAACAAUGAUAGGCAAAAGGAUGCUUGGGGUUCAAGAGAAACUAUCAGCAAUCAUUUUAUUAGGUGUCUCGCAUAUAAGUUAUUUUUUUAGAGUUCCAGGGUAUACUCCCACUUCGAUUUCAUUGCAAAAAGGACAACAAGGAAGAUUGGAUGGUAGCACGUGCUAAUAGGUAGAGGAAUGUAUGAAAAUCGUGUCAAAAUUAGCACUUGAGAUUACAAACAGGUUACAUCACAACAUGCACGGUAGCAAGUUUCAUGUACAAGACCAGCUAAAGCUGGUCCAAGGCGCGCGUAGUGGGGGGAGGAUGAGAGGGUAGGCAAAGCAUUUCGUGGGGGGCCUCUUUUGAUCCUCGUUGCCCGUUGCGUGGUGGGGCCCCGGCGGGGUAGCUUUUGUUGGGUGUAGAAAAUGCAAAAGACAAGGGAGCGGAAAUGGGAAGAGGGACGGAGAAAAGGCCGGGAAAGCUCUCCAUCACGUGAGCCGAGCCCCCCUCACCUCACCUCACCUCAGCUCACGUGUCCAUCUGGAGCAGAGUGCAUGCUUUGUUGUGUGCUGACUUUGACUGUUGCAACAGCCAGUAGACAAGCAGGGGUGUACGUGUAGCGGAACUGGAAGAGGGAAAGCGAGCGAACCAGGGCCCCGCCCCGACAAGCCGACACGGCCCGACAGCCUUACCUCUCCUACUCGUCCCCACCACCAUUUCCGAUUUCUUUCUCUCCUCUGCCUGCCCUUAACCAUCAACCCAUUCCUACCGUCGCUGCUGCCCAACCAACCGCGUUCGUGCAUACCAGUAGUGCCAAUACACUACUAGUAGGAAAGAGAGAUUUUUUAAAAAAACAAGAGUAGGAAAUAUAUAUUUUUUAUUUAUAAAUAUAAAGGGUAGAAAGAGAUUGGUGAGUGCAAGGCUGCAAGUAGCACUCGACACCUCCGUCCGGCUCUGUGUCUCUCCGCAAGGGAGCAGGCCCACCAACCAAUAGAAAUGCAAAUGCAAAUGCAAAUGCGCCGCGAUACGCGAUGAUGGCGCCCAAGAUCCGCAUCAGGGACAUCAUGUCCUGCAUAAUCAUCCCCCUUUCUGUAAUUUGUUUAUGCACCCCAAUGUACCAAGUAUCAUUUCAAGUUCCUGCAUACCAGUAGUGCGUCACCUUUUGACCAGCAGAGAGCUAGCAGCUACCACUACUUCACUGCCAAUCUUAUAGCUGCUCAGUACUCGCAGUGACUUGACAGUGGUUUAAAACUUCAUCAAAUUUCGAAAACAUCCCCCUUGGCAGUCGAUAAGCUUCCAUGAUCCAGCUCAAUCCCCUAGCGCUAGCAGGAACAGCUUAGGUUUUAGGUUAUCUGACUUGGGUGGGUACUGAAAGGGAAACACAAUUUCCAAAUCCACCCAAGCAUUCUGGCUCAGAUCAACCCGAAUAUGAUACCAGCAAAAGAGGGGAUACAGUAUCCCAGAAGCUACAAGUAGGUGGCCACCAAACAGGAAGAAGCAUCUCAUCUUGUUGGAAUAACUGUGUGUGUAUCAGCCUAUCAGGCAAGUACAAGAGAGGGAAGAGAACUUUUGAGUACACGCCUCAAGCCACCAAAGUGGCAAACAAUACAAUGGCUACUAUUCUUCUCCGAUUUUCAUUACAGAUCUUGAUUCCUUGGUAAAAUAUACAAAUCAGAGCAAUACAAUCAAUAUCAUGUGCUGAACAAAAACAGAUCCAAAAGCACUAUGACAUAUGACAACUCCAAGGGAGGAACAUGAGACUAGAAUGUGGCUCUGGCCUGUUGCUGCUUACAGGCACCAUGAACAAGUUCCUAGCCGGCAAGGUGACUGGGAGAGCUCUUGAACAUCGUGUGCCACAUGAAAGCCCUGGAGAGGACCAUCUCAAGCUCGUGGUGCGCCCAGGUCCUUGUGGGAAGGUGCUGAAGAAACAUUACCAUUUCUUGAAAAUCCAGUUUCUGCAGUUUGUCUGACCACUGAGGGGGGAAAGGGUUUCAAACUAUCAGAAACUCGAAAUUCUGGCAAGCAUGACAGAGAUUGCUGUUGGUGUAAUAAAAACACAUAAACAUAUUUCAAAGGUGACUUACAGUUAACAAAAAGCUAGCCGAUAUGUACACAAGAAAAUCUGGCAGAUAAUCUCCUUCAGCAAGAUAUGUAUCCCAAAGGCGCGUGACAAGAUGAAAAGGUAUCUACAUGGAUAUGUGACAGGUCAGCAACCUUUUUACAUGUAUGUGAAAUACAAAAUCAAGUCAUCAAGUGUAGCAGGAACAAACCUCCCGUAUCAGGAGGCAGUUGAACCAACGGAAGGCAAAUUGAAGAAACUCUAGUCCUUGCUCUUCAAUGUGCUUGGAUACAGGUUCUGCAUACAAUGAUACAACAAAAAAUUAUGAGGUCAAGGAUAAGUGUUUUUCCAAUCAUUGACUAGGCACUUUCAAAAUGAUGUUUCUACAAGUAUAUACAUUAUUUAUCUCCACAAAAGGGCCCAGUUUCCAUUAUUCUGUCACAAUUACUUUAGCCGGAAGGGCCAUUACAUAUGGGUUGAAAAGUGAAAUUUGUCUGCCACAUCGUGGAACCAGAAGUGGCAAAACAUGAGAAUCAGUGGAACAUUACCAUCUAUACGACGAACUAGUUCCUUCAAUCUAAAAACAAGACGCUGAAUUCCUGGUUGUGCAAAGGUGUAAUGAUCCUGCAUUCCAUCAAGAAACUUCGAGAGACACCAAUAGCAGUCUGCUUCUAUGUUAGAAAUGUCCUGUGCUGAAAGAUUGUCCAUCGACCAACCGUCCAUGUUGCCCUCUAGGUGCUCUGAUAAGAACACGAUCAAGAAUGGCGUGACAAGGUCAUUUAUUCCUUGGACGUAGCCGCUUGCUGGGUGACGAAUAGCCCUGAAAACCCCACAUCAGAACAAUGGAGAUAAGCAAAUUAACACAACCCUGGUUGUAUUAAAUACGAAUGACAGCGCCAACAGUCAAAAAAUAUUAGUAAAAGUCAUGUUUGCACUAACAGAACGGGCCUGCAUGUGGAUGAUAAUUUGGACUAAAGGAACCAUGUUACUGCCAAAUCAAGAAAACAAACUUCGAAUUAAGAACAAUACAUCUAAAUGUAAAUAGAGAGUGCACUAAAUAUAGGAGACAUACUAGCACAUAGACGAAAUAUAUGAAAGUAUGAAAAGACGGAGAAGUCAUUGGUGCUGACAGAAUUGGUGUACAUGUAGGUGAGACAGAGAAUCUAUUUCAAAGGAAACAAGCAAUCAUGCUAGUGCAAAAGGAAAGUGUUCAGCAUUAAGAUCCAUACAUCAAGAUGUCAAGAUAAAGACUCAAUUCAUGCCAAGCAAACUAAAGGAAUAAAUAUAAGAGCAAGUUUAGUGCAAAAUUCAUCCAUUUAUCCAAGUUUUCCCACAGAAGAUAUAGAGUCGCAAUGGGUAAAGAAGAAUUUCACAAAUGUAGUAUUAUCCACACCGGAAACAAGCAUAUUUGCAUACAGCAGGCUGACGUCAGGAGGAAAAUAGUGCAUCAAAAUUGGAAAUAAGAUAUAUUUUUCUGUUGAUGAACCCAACACCACCACCAAAAAAGGAAGAAAGAAAGAAAACAAGCCAGCCAAGCUCACACCUUACCAUGUAUAUAAAAUGCGCUCGAGAGAUUUCUGAAUUUGAGGAUUCUGAAAAAAGGUAACAUCAGGUACAGUUCUUGGGCAGUCAACUGCAAUCUGCAGGCCAACAGGUGAUUGUAAGACAAUUGAUUUUGAGAAAAUAGGGUGAGGGAAUGAGUCGAUAAGUUAUAAGCCAAAAAAUGUUACCUGACGAAGCAUAGUAAUUUCUUCAUCUGAGCGUUCACUAUCCGGGAUAUCGUAGUAUUGAGAAACACAUUCCACAUACUCUAGUCUUUUUCUUGUUAGAACACCUUCUCGUCUAUCUUUAUUAGGUGGCGCAUAUCCCUGUAGCCAGCUAUAUUAAAUUCAAAAAUUGGAACAGAACAUUCGAAAGAAGUUCUGCGAUCUUUACGUGAAGCAUGUCUACUCACCAAAAGAAGCCUCCAUACAUUAGGCCGCAUAUAUGGGGGGACACCGCUCCAAGAUAAUUCACGCAAUUUAUCUACAUAAUGGAGGAUAGAUUGCAGCUGUCAGCUGAACUCUAGAUAAUCUUGAAGAACCAAAAUAUAUUAAAUUUUAAAGUUUUUUCAAAGAAAAAAAAGCCCAAAAUAGGCUUUAUGAUUUAUCAACUCUGACCUGAGAUAGAAAGAACGAGGGGGCAGAAAAAAAGUAGAUAAAAGGCAGCAAGGAUUACACACACAUACAAAAAAAAAGAUGGCCACACUAUGACUUCUUAGUUUGUGGGUAUAAGAAGAAUCAGAUACUCUGAAAUGCUAGUUUUCAUUGUAUUGGAAGUAACUUUAUAUCAUCAACAAAAGCAAGCUUAAUCGAUAAACUGAAGCGAAAAACAUAGCUUCUGUAAAAUACAAGGAAUAACCACUUAUCAGAUUAUCAUUGUACAUAACUUUUAGUAUUUUUUUAUCUUUGUCUUCCUAAACACAAUAAUGCAAAAGCAUCCAAAUAGAAAAAACUAGAGGUGAUCAGCCAUGCCUAAUAUAAGAAAAUUACUGUAAUGUUUACUUCUGAGAUCAAACUAAUUCCCGCAAAAAUGGUGAUGAAUUCAAAAUAAUAUAGUACAAAGAAUAAUCUGCAUACCUAAUAUAACAGCUGGCCUAGAGAGUUCCUUUGUGAACUUAUCAAUUCUUGCAGAAUCUGUAGCUCUAGCCCCAGAAACUAGCCCUUGGGCAUCUGGUAAUGAAUUUGAGCUACUUGUUGACAGAGGAUUUGAUUUCUUUGCACUUGCAUUGUCAAAUGAGUUUCCAGAUGCUUGGCCUUCUCCCUGCACAAUGUCAACUCCAUCAGUUACAAUACAUCUUCUUUGCAUGUCAAAAACAGUCAAACUACUAGCAUAUUACCUCCUGUGAACCUUCCUUGCGCUCAUCUUCAUCAUGCUCAUUCUCAAAGCGUGGAGAAUAAUCAGGAGGGGAAAGAGGCUCAGAUCGCCGAGUUAGCAAAACCUUCCCAGGAAAGCUACGUCCUUUGAGCAUUCUGACAGAGUGUGGCAAAACGACCAAAAAUCGUUUGUAAUGAUACAAGAACAUAGGGCAUACAGUGCCUAGCAACUGUAACAAAUAUGUCUAAUGAGAACACUGAGUAUAGGUUACAAAAGUGCCAUUUGGUUACUUUUGGGUCACAGAGUUCUCAAAUUGAAUACCCGUGGUAUAUAGAUAAAGAGACAGAUCAAGAGCAUUUCUUCGGGAUAUGCAGCCUAGGGACUUAACUAGUGUACUGACACUGAGAAAAGCUAUAGCCGUAUGCACGAGUCUCAUUUCGCAGGAUUCAGAUCGAUGAUGGAGAAAGGCUCGCGCGAGGGAGGAAAGACCCGGCUUACCCUUGCACGUUGCGGAGCGUCUGGUUGAAGCGCCACUCCGUGUUGUUGGGGCUCCCGCCGGCACCGCCGCCGACUCCUCCGCCGCUGCCGCUCAUCGCCGCCGGUCCGGGGCUGCCUGACUCAGGCAAGGCAACCGAGCUCAGGCCCAGGCGCAGGGAAUCGGAAGCCUGAGCUUGUUGCGCACUCUCUUCACGCAAGCCCGCAAAGCAUCGCCGAGAUCCACGGCGUUGCCGCCCGUGCACUCGCCGCUGCUGCGCCUGCCGCCUGCCUGGCUGGCUGGCCGCCGUCCGCUCGAUCUGCUGCGAAGCAACCGGUUCGGUCACCGAUCUAUGGUGUGGAGAGGAAGCAGAAGGAAUUGGGGAUCCAUGGGAAUGCAACUGAAAGCGCCUUGCCAGGAAUCUUCACAUCGCAGCAACGAAAGCGUAAUUUAUGCUUUACGCCUCUCGCGUUCAUUACAGUACGUGGUUAGCUUUGGGGCACGCGGAGAAUUUUGUUAUCUGGCUAUGUAUCCACUAAGCCCAUUCUCAAUGCCAUGUUUCAUAAUAAUUAUAUAGAAAUAGUGCCACAUAAAUAAAAAUAUAUUUAGUUCAUGGAUGAAAUAACUCACAUAGUGUAUAGUUUCAUCUUUUAUUAUUUUCGAAGCUACAUGCAAGAUACAAAAUCUUGAAAAUAGUGUACACAUGGUUUCAUCCCCGUGAAACCACUUUCUCCUCUCACUUCAUAAAUAGUGUACCAUGAGAUCAAAAUUAGCUAUGUAACAGCUUAUUUAUUAUCCAUGAAACCCGCAUUGAGAAUGGCCUAAGAGGCUUCAAGUACAUGAGACUAGGAAAUAGAAUCUACAAAUAAAUUAUUGAUAAUUAUAUCGUAUUGUAGAGUUAAUCUAUCUCUUCUCAGUUCAAAACUAACGUUAUGUUUAGAUCUCCGACACCAAACCUUCAUGUGGCAUACUCCUCUCAUGUGAAGCUCAACUCUAGAAAUGAUGUCCGCCACUUUUCUCUCACCAUGUCAUCUACUCCGGAUGCCAGGAUCCUCAAGGAUCUACUGAUAGUAAAGAGCCUAGCUCCAAACCAGCUAGCCGCGCAUCAGCGGUUUAAUCAAAUUUAUGUGAGGAUUUUUCUUAAUGAUUAUAAAAAAAUAUUUUGAGAAUACGUAGGAGAGCUACGUGUCAUUGCAUUACAAAGAUAAUUGAAAGUUUUUAACAUGGGCCAUUCACCGGGCGCACGCACACGUGUUACAACAAACUUACGCGACUAUACGGCAAAAGAAAACAACCCGAGCUAAGGCCUAUCCUGUCCAGUCCCAGUUGCUGAUGCCGUUGGCCAACCAAUGGUGACCAGGUGUGUUGCCCCGGCUUGUAUCCAUAGUUGGCCUUCCUCCAAGAUCAGAGCUGCAACCUGAGCUGCUGAGUUCUCCGGCUGGCUUCUCCUUCCAGAGCCUCCAAGACGGAAGCAUGAAGGCUGAAUCCAGACCUCUCCUUUGCAAUUUGUUUAGUCCUGCUCUUUUCUCCAGCCACCAAUCAACUGUUUGCAUAUCUUGAGAUGGAGUCUGAUUGAUCAGUCCAAGGGAUAAGCUGAUGCAGUGCCACACUUGUUGGGUGAAUGAGCAGGAACAAAACAGAUGAAUUCUAAAGGCUGAAUGACUGUAAAAAAUAGUUGCAUAUCUUUGCAUGAAGGCUGAAUGAUUAUAAAAAAUAGUUCAGAACAAAAAAAACGAGACGAAUUCACCAUUUUUUUUUCUUUUCGAAAAGCAUUCUACGACCAUUUUUAGUCCAAAAAAGUACUUUGUCUGCUAGCUAACCAGUAGUACUUUGCAGCUUUGGACCGAUCAAAAUUUACGGUAAAUGACGGGGCCAUGUCAGGAAUGGUCUAUCUUUCCAAAUAUACUGGAGCAUCACCUGUAAUCUGUAUUCCCAGAAUCCGGUACCAGUUCAUUCAGAAUCUGGAUCGAUAAAGCAUGCAUAUAAUAAACAGAUCGGCAAUUCCCAAUCAGCCUGGUUAACAAAGGUGCUAUUUUAUCCUUUUGGUCCAAGUACAGAAGGCAUGAGGAGGAAUUCAUUUGUCUCUUCAGAUCCGGGAAAUAAGCCAAUAACAGAACAAGCUCAGAACAUUGAGCUUUUUGGUCACAACACCCUUCUCUCUCUCUCGUUUUCAUCAAAGGGUGGCUACAACAGGAUACUGUAUGAUGCCCUUUUAUUCUCGUAUUGUAGUGUCUGUGAAAAAACAUACGGAUUUUUUAGUACUAACAUAGCAGGCUUAAUUCUUGACAAUGUUUCUGCAAUUCUACUUGGCGUCCCUAGAUAGAAAAUUGUGUGACUGGAUGUCCCGAACGUUGGAGAGUUCAUCCACCGUGUCUCCCCGCUCAAACACAGCUGCUGCGCCCAUCCCAGAUCCUGCAAUCGACACAAAGCAAUAUGGUCAAAUUACAUUUACGCGUUACGCAUCCUUUUGCCUUUGCAAAUGCAAAUGCAAGUAUCUAACAACGAGCAUGAUGGAGAUAAUAAAUCUAACCGAUGCACAUGGUGACGACACCAAAUCUGCAGUCUCUGCCUCGGCGCUUCAUUUCGUUCAGAAGAGUAGCCACACACCGUGCACCUGAACAACAAAAAGAAACCACUAGCUUAGAUGACUUUGCUCAGACGACCUGGUAACAGGUACCACAAUGGCAGUGGUACUCUAUUUUCCUGACAAUCUCGCAUACAAGUAUAAUUCAGUUACCUGUUGCACCCAGAGGGUGUCCCAUGGCAAUCGCGCCUCCAUUCACAUUUACUUUGGAUCGGUCCAAUCCCAGCUUGUUGCAGCAAUAGACAAAUUGAGAGGCAAAUGCCUGCAAGUGGAUGACUUGGUAAUCAGCUGUUGUUAAUAGAUGACAGAAAAGCUGUGGAAUAUGACAAAUAAACAGACCUCAUUCAGUUCAAAGAGAUCAAUGUCUUCAAUCUCAAGGCCAGCAGACUUCACUGCAGCAGGAAUGGCUACAGCAGGACCAACACCCAUUACAGCUGGAUCCACUCCGACAGCAGCAAAGCUCCUAAUAGAUUAUGUCAAGAAACAUUUUAGUCUAAGAAUGAACUGAGGAUAGUAUAUGUCAAAACAAUGAUGGUAAACACAAUGUGAACUAAUGAAGAUGUUGUAUGUAUAUAUGUAAAGGCACAUAAAGUACCUGAAAACACCGAGAAUAGGAAGCCCUUUCUUCAAAGCUACAGAUCUCUUCAUGAGAAGAACAGCUCCAGCACCAUCACUCACUUGACUAGAAUUGCCUACACAGUUUGAAUGAUUUAUCAGAUGAUGUUUCAGCAGUGAGUGAAAAAAAACCCCAGGAUGCAGGGGAGUGUCAAUGAAAAUAGUUGUCUUCUGCAGCACCUGCAGUUGUAGUCCCAUCCUUUUUGAAAACUGGUUUAAGCUUCGCCAAUCCAGAUGCUGUGGUCCCUGGCCUAAUUCCAUCAUCAACUGAUAUCACAACUUUCUUCUCCUCUCCAGUUUUAGGAUCAACGAUCUGCACAGUAUGAACAGUGUCAGUAUAAUAAUAACCACUAAAAAAUUCAUGUUCUUUUCCUAGAAAACUAGACUGAAAAAUUGGUCGGACAACAAGCAUAUUAGUUCCACAGUAGGGGCCUCCCAAAAAAAACAAGCAUAUUAGUUACUGCUAAGGUGAUGCAGUUAAAACUAGGUUAAGCUGUUGCUAGUUUCUACUGGAAAGGGGGCUGUGGCCAGAAGAAGCAUAUUAGUUUCAAUGCCUCCUACCUUUGUUGGCACUGGGACAAUCUCAUCCUUAAAUUUUCCAGAAGCCGUGGCUGCAGCAGCUCUCCUAUGAGACUCAGCCUGAUAAAAUAUGAAGCUUUGAUUUCCAUCUUAAUCGAAAGAAAGAAAUGAUAAAAUUAAAACAGUUUGUGCCUAAGGAACUCACAGCAGCCUGAUCUUGCUCUUGCCUGGUGACACCAUAUCGAUGAGCAACAUUUUCAGAAGUAAUUCCCAUGGGCAGAAGACAAUCCUGUGCUUUCUGGAAUGCACUUAUCUGCAGAGAAGAAUGUGUCAUAGAAAUAAAAAGAAUAUCAGUAUCAAUGUACAGUGUGAUUUAUAAUCCAUACCCUGGGGUUUACUUGUCCUUCCCAACCAAUGGAAUUUAUCGACAUGGAUUCCAGACCAGCACCAAUCCCUGUUUGGAGGGAAAACAGUAAUUCAGCACACAAACUAAACCACAGCAGCAAGACUAGCAUGGUAUUCAGCAUGCUGCAAUUACCUAUGUCAUAGAAACCAGCCUUUAUAGCAGCGGCGACAUCAGCUACUGCCUGUAACCCAGAUGAGCAUUGCCGGUUGACAGUUCUAACAGGAACAGUUUCUACAGAAAUAAAAUGGGAUAGUCAAAUUUUGUCCAGAAGAUAGAAUCCUCUUCUUCAAAUGAUAGCACCACGAUUGCUAACAUAGGGGUUUACCAGGGAAUCCAGCAUAGAAAGCAGCCAUCCUGCACUCAUUUGCACGCUGCGAACCUGGACCUAGAACCGUCCCAACCACAAUGUCACCAAUGUCACCAGGAUUGAUUUUAGUGUUGUCCAGAACAGCCUACAGGUGCAAAACGAAAGUAACAGAACAUGAAUAAUGAGCGCGUGAAAACUUUUUGUUUAAGCACACAGCCAACCAAUUGUAACGAAAACUCUUAUGUUUCAGCACAGCCAGCCAGUUGUUGCGAAAACUAGCAGAUUAAUAAUAAGAUAACAGAAGCAAACCUUGAGAACAACGGUAAGGAGGUCCUCUGGGUACGUGUCCUUGAAACCUCCUCGCUUGGCCUUGCAAAUCGGCGUCCGGUAUGCGCUGCAGUGAGACAGCACGGAAGGAAGAGGUAUAGUAUCCAUCAACCGUACAUGUGCAGCAUACUGAUUGAUAUGAAAAGGACCAAAGCAGCAAAGCCUUGCAAUCAAGGUUGCUAACUGUUCUAUUUUGAACAUUUUGGAUUCGUCUUUUUGUGCAUAGUGUUAUCCUUAUCUUACUUAUUCCUGUAAAUUAGUUGACUGAUUACGCAUUCUCGUUGCUAAGUAGCAGUACAAGGUCAGUGACUCAGUGGGGUGGAUGUUCAGUAUCAUCACUGUGUCAUGGCUGUCUAUAUCCACCAUGUAAAUAUACUAAAAAAGAUAGAGUCCAUCGAUACGAUCUGGUGGGGCGCGGUAACAAUUCCAAUUUCUAUCAGUUUAUCUAGGUAGCGCAGGCAGCAUGUUAAAGAGGUUUCCUAAACAACUAAAAUAGGAGCACUCCCUACGAAAGAGUGGGGGGAAGGGGAAAAAAGCGGUAAGAGGAAGGCUUACGCGACGACGACGACAUCGUCUCCGAAGGAGGAGGUCCUCUGGUACGCGGCGCUGUCCCCGGCCGCACACUCCGACGCCUGAACACCGAACGCCCGCCGCCACCGGCACGCAGCAAGAAAUCGAUCAGCCAACCCACACAAGAGAGAUGAACCAGAACCAACCCAACCAGGAGAUCAGGAGCUCACCGCUAGCUGCGGCUGCGAGGAGGGCGAGGAAGAGGAGGGGAGGAGGUGGGCGAGGAGGACCCGCUGCCGAUCGAUCGCCUUCUCCAUGGCCGGCUGGUUUGCUCGGUGCCGCGCGCGCGCGCGUUGGGGUUAUCGGAAGGGAAUUAAUGAGAGGAAGGGGAGGCGGAAGCGAGGUGGUUGCGGAUUUGCUUGGCUUCCUCUUAUGGCGCGGCGCCGGCACGUAGCGAGUCAGGAAAGCACGCAGCCCAAGCAAGAUGGCGACCCGUGUUUAUCCAGCGUACGGCAACGGCAUGGGCACGGAUUGGGAUCAGGAAAUCAGGAUCACACCAGGCCAUGCCCGCCAGAGAAGAUACUUGCGAAGCUUUUGCUUGCACGUUUAUGAUUUCUCUGCCUUUUUGGUCAACUUGUGCAUUAUGCCCAAAAAAUUUGCAUUUCCAUUUUUGCGAAUUUUUUGCAUCUUCUGGGAGUUGCCUCUUAGGACAAAGAAACUGCGUGUUUGUCCUUAAGCCUGAUUUUUUUUAUUGAUCCAUCAGCUCUUUUUUUUUUCAGGUCACUGAUUUGUAACAUUCUAGAUAUUUAGUCGGUGUAACUGUGACCACAAAUUUUUGUUAAUAAGUUAUCUCUAGCUCUGUUUCACAAUGUUAGUCUGGUUCUUAUACUCCCUCCGUAUAGGAAAAGGAAUUCGUUUUGGACAAGGUUUGGGUCAAACAUUGGGAAUAUAAAUCAUGAAUAACUUUUAAGUUGUUGAGUUUGGAAAUAUGAAAGCUAUAUAAAUAGAUUUGUCUUGAAAAAUACUUUCAUAAAAAUAUACAUAUAUCACUUUUUGAUAAAUAUUUUAUAAAAAUAAGGAGUCAAAGUAAUGCUUUGGAGACCGUGUCGCUGUCCAAAACGACUUCCUUUUCCUAUACGGAGGGAGUACUUGAGAGGACCGAUAGCUAAAUAAUUUGUUUAUGAAAUCAUAUCGUUCUUAGUCUCAUUGGAUGAUUAACUAUUGAUCUAUCAAAUCAAUACAAAUUCAACAUAGUUUCAUCGCUGCCUAGCCCGGUGGCCAGGGGAACGGGGAAAGGGUUGAUAUUAUCCUCGUUCUUUGGAAGAUCUGGCUAGAGAAAUCGGAGGGUCUUCCAACAUAAAGAUAAUACGGUUACCCAGAUAACCGACGGCAUCAAGAACCAAGCUGUCGCUGUGGGAGUUAAAUACUUGGAGGACCUUCUCUCAGGAUAGGCAUCCGUUUUGUACUUAGUUGUUAUAGCGGAGUUAUGCCUUCCCGUUUUUGGGAUGCGAGUGUACAGCUUGUAUAGUAUGUUUGUAUACAGUUCGUCAAAUUUUUCCUCUCUUUUAAUAUAGCAGCAGCUCUCCUGCUGGCUCGGUUUUAAAAAAACAUAGUUUCAUUAAAUUUUAAUCAAAUACUAUAACGUCUAGGUAUGCCGACCAGACAAGCAUAGUAAGUUUCGUUACCGUCUUCAUGUUCUCCAGCCGUCACGUCAUUUGUUAGAAAAAGAGAACGGUUCCUGCCGAUUUCUUUUGGGUCUACUUGAAACAUUAUUGGAAAAGGCGGUGCCAUGGCAUGAACCAACGUAUAAUCUUUAUUUGUACCUGGAAAUAGCCGUAUGCCCCCUGAAAUAUGUGGAGGAUAUGCAUGUGUGGACAUUCUAAUGUCCGCAUGGAACGGAACGUGCCGUGACUCAUGAAUUUGUCGGGCUCCACACACCUGGCGUCACCACUGACGCAGGCUUUGGUCGGUCCGGACAAGUGCCCCUAACGGCCUGCCAACUUGUUUUAUUUUGCUCCAUUAUGCAUGUUGGGCUCCGUACCGGCCCACUAUACUGUUGCACGGCCCAUGCAUAUGCCGACUAAGCAGCAAGCCUGUAUUUCCCUUAGCCCGGCAGAGGCCCAUCGAACAUUGAGGGCGCGUUUGGAUGAGUGUGCCUGCGACAGCCAUACCAAAAUUUGGUCGUUUUUUUAAUUAAGGUUGGCUCUUUUAGUUAAGUCACAAUUUCAGAGUACACAAUUUCCUGUAUGCAACCAGGGAUACAAUGUGGAAAGAUCGUAUAAGCACAGAGCUCACCCGAUCGAGCCAGUACAUGAGCCAGCUUAUUAGCACUACGACUUAUAUGAACAAAAGACACAAAAAAAAAUUACAUGUCAGUGGUUUGGUAUCAGCUACUAUCUCUAGCAGGUGCAUUUAUCUUCAAAGUCAAGGUAAGGCAAUCGGAUUGCAAUAUCACAUUGCGGAAACCUUCUUCGAGGGCAAGAACAACAGCACAACGCAGAACAAGAGCCUCUGCAACAUCUGGUGAGGUGAUGCUACUAAAAGACUUACGACAAGCCAUCAGACAAAUACCCAAAUGAUUUCGAAACCAAUGGCCGAACUCGAAGAGGAGGUAAAGAUUGUUGCAUCAACAUUAACACAAACCAAAUCAGGCGGCGGUGGAGCCCACUUCAUGACAUCCUUUGGGGGUGCACACCUAAGUGGCUGAAUCGGUUUCAGACGAUGCAUAACAAUUGUCGUUGGACAAACUUUUGCAGCAGAAUUUCUCACUUCAUUUCGGGCUUCCCAAAUAUGCCAACACACUACAGCAACCACUAUUGCUUGUAUUUCAUUGCAUCUGUCCAGGAGAUCAAACAACCAUUUAUUUGCAUUUAUCAAAUGUUUCCUACCAAGAUCAAUAUCAAACUGAUGUUUCACUCCUUUCGAGAUAGAGGAAGCAAACUGACACAUCGCAAAAAAAAAAAUUAAACUGAAGGCCCGGCCGAGUUUGUAUUAAUUAAUAGAGAAGGUAAUAUAAGACUAUAGUCCGGGGAGGCUAUAGGCAGAAAAAAGAAAAGAAAAAAAAACAAAGAAAGGGUUGCUCAGUUGGAUUGGUACGUCAAUACGGGUAACCAGUCCACUCGCCGCAGCAGCAAAACCGGAGUCUUUAUAAAAUUCGUGGCACCCACCAACAAUCACCCUCAUAUAGUCGUCGAAACCUUCAUGGGUAGCCCUGCAUCGACAGGGAACCUGACGGAAGCAGACUGCACCUAACCGAGGAGGUCACCGCCAUGCGGGACCCUCCACCAAAAUACCGCUGCAGACACUAUACUCCACCUGACAGAGUGAUACCACCGAAUCCGGACCUCUCGCAGGCUGCCUCACAGCGCGCCGGGGUCUAGCCACAUCCGUCGUUGGACUCCAUCUCGCUCUCACCACACACGGGGGCACAUUGCAAAUCAAUGUUCUACUUUUCAGUUUUGCCACAGAAACAACAAUCAGGCAUAACAAAUACAUUGCGCCUCUGCAGCUGGUAACCUGUAGCAAGACAAUCAUGUGCUAUACGCCAAAGUAUAAUUUUCAUUUUACUUGGAACCUUCACAGACCAAAGUUUCUUCCACUGUUUUGCUACACACAUGGAAUCUGACACCGUUCCAGUUCCAGAACGACCUCUUGAUUCAAGGAAGGAUAAGGAACGUGCCAAAUUAUAGGCAGACUUUACUGAAUAAGUACCGCUCUUAGUAUGAGUUCAUGUAGCAAAAUCUUCAAAGUCACUUCUGCCAUUACACAACCCUUUAAUUCAUCUUCCUCCUCUUUUUUCUUCAACAAGCAUGAAAGACCUUCGGUACAUAAGAUAAACUAAUAUGGGCUAAUUGGGUCUCCUUGCCUAAUGCCUCUGGUUGGAACAACCGGGUCAGUAAGUUCUCCAUUUACAUUUACUGCAUAACGAACCUCCGUGACACAUCUCAUGACUAUAUCUAUCCACGAAGGAGCAAUUCUGUAAGCAACCUCGAAGGUAAGGUCACCCCGCUCUGUCAUAAGCCUUCAUCAUAUCAAUUUUUUAUGGCAAAGUAUGGCUUUAUGGUAAAGUAUGGCUACUUAGAGAGUUGUUACCUGAUAGUAUGCAAGCACUCAUACGCAAUUAGAGCAUUGUCAGUGAUAAGCCAUCCCGGAACAAAAUUUGAUCGUUGACCACGUGCAAGGUUCGCGCUUGGAUACCAACCAAUUUUUGGCGUGCUUUGGCCAGCCUUCCCAUCCGUAGUUCAUUUUUGAACCCUGCGUCGGGCCGAUUCCUAGGCAGCUAAAUCGGUCGCCAAUAUUUGGCUGGCCGAUGAGUCUGAUUGGUUGCUUGCCAAAACUUAGGCAUGCAAAACUUGCCAAUAUUUUGGUAAGAUAAAUAGGAGAAGUUGUCAAAUUUUAGUAACAAACCAAACGGUGAUAAAAAAUUUGACUUGCCAAAACUCUAACAUACCAAAAUUUUAGCAACAAACGAAUCAGACUCGAUAUCUUUGUUAGGGCAGACGGCGGCAGCAAACCAAACCUACUUGAAGGACGCGUGCAGGUGGGGAGUAAUUUGUAUGAAACCCAUUCAAUCCUGACGUAUUUUGAAAAAUAUCUGUACACGGACAGCAAAUAACCCCACUACAGAUUACUCGUACUUGAAAGCAGCUAUCACUGGCAUUACCAAUUGCUACAGCACAGCACCAAAACAAAAAUCCGCUGUAGCAGCAAAAAACAUUGCGCGCACCAAAACCAGUGGACGAUCAUCACUACCACUGCUGCCCGCGGCUUCCAUCGAAACCGUGAGCUCGCCGGAGCAAGGAAGUGCAACACUAGUUACCAAAACAAGAGGCCAACCGUACUGGACAAAUUCACAGGCCAUUGGCCACGAAACUGGAGGAAGAAAAAUUCAGCAACUUCGAAUUCAUCAACAGGCCAUUGUACCAAGACGUCAGGUAUCCAGAGGCACUCAGUCACCUUAUCCACUGCCACGUGACCGGGGCCCACGGGAUCUCGGCAGCCAGUCACAGCGCGCCACGUCGGCCGUCCCGUCCCUGUACAAGAACCCAUCAUUGGAGCCUUGGAGGGGAAGCCCAAAUUCCAGCAGGCGGCCCGUCCAAAUUCCACGUCAAUCCACAUCCGAAACGGGGGCAGAUUCAGAGCAACGACAGACUGAAAACCAGCCUCCUUCACCCAAUGCAGCUUUUGCUGGUGUCGCCCUCAGAGUUGGGCACAUAUCCAGAUCCAACUCUUGCUUGUCCCACCGAUAACUUGGUAAUUCAAUUUUAAUUCAGCUCACUGCAAGUCACAGCUGCUCACUCUGGGCAUAUCAGUCACCUUUGGUUACUCCAAGUAUCAACCUGCAGUACCGUAGAUGGUAAUCCUAAUUGAAAAGCAGGGGCAUCCAGUCAAAAGUCCAUCAGUAGUAUCCGUCAGCAGUACCAGUCACUGGUGGAUGGUGGGGCCAGGCCUUCCAUGCAUUCCUAUCCACCUCAGCUCCCUGACUUGUCGUUUUAUAAAUCCCCCCCUCCCCUGCAAGGAUCUGCAGAAGAACAUACAGAAACCAGUGAGCCACCCACCAAAGAGUGAUCGCCAAUAGUUUCCUUCCAUCCAUGGCAUGCAUCAACACCCUCCAGAGUUGCUCCAUUGCCAGAGGGGCAAAAAUCAACACAGGAACUAGGAGAAGUGCUGCAAAGCGAUCACCAACCUUUCAGUGCAGAGCGUCGACUUUCGUUGACGCCAGCGUCCGGCUUGAGCUUGACGAGAACCCUGAGGCGAUCAUCUCAGGCGAGUGGCCUGAGAACUCCUUCCUUCUCAGCUACGAUGAUCUCCGUGCCUACCUUGAGUCACAGGAGGCUGUCCAAGAAGGAGAUCAGGUACUUGAUCUGGAACUCUUAAAGCUGUCAUUGUUAUCUGUCUUGAUCUCCUUCAGCUCUAGCUGAACUCUGAGCGGUGAAUACAGCGCGUGGCUCUCUUGAGUGAGACCAUGUCAACACCUGUGCUAGUGGCCACAGCAGAGCAGACACUAGAGGAGGUCGAAUGCCACUUUGAGGCCGUGUCAGGGCUUCCAGUCGUAGACAGCAGCCUCAGAUGUGUUGGGGUAGUCGUCAAGAAUGACCGGGCCAAAGCUUCCCAUGGGGUCAGCUCUCCCUUCCCCUCUUUCUCACUCUCUCUCACACAACUUGGGCGCGAGCACACACAUAACAAGUUGCUAGUUUCAUACAAGAGCGAAGGAGAAAAUCCAUUCUGUCUACUGAUCUAUUGCUGCUUGUAACAGCCAAAAACAAAGAUUGAAGAAGUAAUGACCUCUCCAGCCAUCACACUAGCAUCAGAUAAAACAGUGAUGGGUAAUUGUUGUUUUCAUAUCACCUUUUUCUUUCCACGUAUGCUUUAAGUUAGAUCUAAGAGUACAUGUGUAACAUCUACAGAUGCUGCGGUUCUGAUGCUCAAGAAGAAGAUCCACAGAGUACCAAUUGUAAAUCAGGAUGAACAAGUAAUAGGUGAGUUUCAGAAUGGCGAACAGUUAAGAGACAAAAGGACUGCAUGUAUGCAUACUUGAUUUGUAUUAUCCUUAACAUUGGUAACUUUGCAAGCUUAAUGGGUUCGACACACUAUCAACAGGUAUAAUUACCCGUGCUGAUGUUCUUCGCGAGUUGGAAGGCCUGCUGAAGAUUUAGAAGGGCAGCAGUCCAUGCUCGGUUCUUGUAAAUAUGUCCAUGGUGCUUUUGAGUGGCAGCAAGCAGAUCUACAAUCAGUAGGAGUGCGCUCCAGAAUCGGCAGAAAUAAGCCCGGAAGAGUUUGAGAUCUUUUCCUUGUAAAAGUACCACACCAGGAAACUUACUCUCUGUGUUGCACUGCUUGCGCUACCAAAUGUUGCAAACUAGUCAAAUAUUUCCAGAGCAAUAUAAAUAGAUAUGCUUAAAAUAAUCUUUCAGUAGAAAUAUGCCAACGAUGGAAGAGAAGUGAGAAAAAUGUGAGUUAAUGCACAUGCCAAGUCAAAAAUACUUCAGAGAAAUAAGUAACUGAAUCUGAGGAGGAUUAAAAGAACAUACUCAUUCUGUAUGCCAGUCCAGUUUGAAACUGCAUAAAUCAGGAGAGUUCCCUUUGAUCUUCUCCGGAAGCAACAGCAGCAGCACUAACAACCAUUGGAGUAGAACGUGUGGGUUUUUGUGAAUCAGAAACAACUUUCAUCUCCAGGUUUGGAAUUACUGGUGGCUUUGUCCUCCGAGUAACAGUCAUUUUCAACCCCUCAGUUGUGUGAAUUGUUGCUCCAGUUGUCAUGUCAACCUAUCAUAUUGAUCAUAAAUAAUGGAUACAGUAUUAACUAUAACGAAUCAGAAACUGGUAGAGGCAUACCGGAGGUGCUCCUGGAGCCAUCUGAAAGUCAAAUCGCUUGACAAGCAUUGCUGUUGCCACCACAUUCUGCAAUGACCCAGUAUGCCUAUGUUAUUUUGAGUUCAAUGUCGUGCAAGCUCUACUGUGAUCAUUCUGUUGCUAAUAUAAUGAAAUGAGAUAUUGGGCUUGAAAAAGCUUGAAAUAAAGAAAGAAACCAGGUAUGAAAAUCUAAAAAAAGUUACCUCAAAAGUGGCAAACAUGUCACCAGCACAUUUCCUUGGUCCACCACCAAAUGGUAAGUAACUGAAAAUCCAAGAGAUUGCGUGAAUCCCACAGUGAUUAAACCAAUCCUCAGGCAUUAAUCAACAUGGUGGUAGGCAACAGGUAUAAUCAGCCACUAAAAGGAAAUAUACGCUCUUAAAAGGAAAUUUAAGUAUUCCCACCCUGUUGCCCUAAGCUAAUAAAAUAGUGACACAGAAUCUCAAUCAACAGGCCAUUGUACGUGCUUUCACGCCCAUCGUGUAGUGGUUGCUCUUGCAACGAUAGGUUCAGAUCAACUCGGUCCAUGCACUUGGUUAGCACUGUCGUUUCGUGCUGUCGCAGAACAGAAUCGAUGUGCGGGUGGAAGGUUUAAACUGCUUGCCUGAAGCGAAUGAGUCACAUCCUGGUUUGCCUGUCAUUUCCGAUUAUCUCAUGAAAUUGAGUCACAUCCUGGUUUGCCUGUCAUUUCCGAUUAUCUCAUGAAAUUGCUCUAUCUCUGUCCCAUUUGUUCUACUACCAUUGAAUCGUUGUGUUCUGGUCACCAUCGCUGUUGAUCUGCUUGCGUUACGUGAUGAUUAUUUAUUCCCAAAACGCAUGGCAUGUGUUUUCCAGUUCCAUACCGUUGCUUGUAGAUCAUUGCUGAACUUGUGUUUUCCAGUUCUGCACCUCUGCUUGUAUGAAGUUGCAGUGAAUAUUUUGAACUUCCUGCAUGAAGUGAGUGGGUGGGAUGACUUAUUCUGAUGUGCUUGUGCCUUCUGGUUUAACUCAUGAAUUAUUCCAUUUAUGUCCAACGAGUUGUAUUCUGGAAUUGAACAAGGUGUUCUAGCCAGUACUCUUGCUCUGCUUUCAUGAAGCUAAUAUAAAAUACUGAAAUGCAUGCCUUGUGGGUUCAAAUCUUACCCACUUGGUUGUACGAUGUAGCAUGACUGCAUGAUCACUCUUAUCUCUAUGGUGAUCUGUUGUGCAUGGACAUUCUGUCCUAAAUUGAAUGUUGUGUUUGUUCUCAGUUGAAUAAUAGGAAGGUUGAUCGAUGCCUGUCUCUAGCAUUCUGGUACCAACUUGGGAGUGUAAAAGAAAAGGUUCUCUCUAAUUUUUUGCAACUAAAGUUUCUGUGGAACUAAAUCUUACCUUAAUUAUAACCAUGUAAUGGAUAUGAUCUUAUCUUGCUCUUAAGUUUGAGUAUAAUUCAGCUUCAGACUGCUUUGGCUUCCAGAUUUAAAUGAACAAGGGAAUAGCAGUUCAUUCUCUGAAUAAGUUCUGCGUGUUUCAGUGCAUGAGUUGGCAACAAGUCACGAUACUACAUAAAUUGCUCCAUUGUGCUGUUUAGCAUAAUUUUGUCAUAGUAAGAUGGGUAACUGGAUACAACAAUUCCAUGCAGAAGGACACAACUAAUUCAGUCUUCUCUUUCUUCUAUGUUUUGGAUACAGAAACAUACAGUUUCUUCUCCUAUUUUCCACCCUUUUGAAUUCAUAUAUUGUAUGACUGAUAUUUGCAGUGAGCAAAUCGUCAUCUCUUUUUUUCUAGAAUACGCAGGAGAACUGCGUAUCAUUCCAUUAAGAAGAGAAUGAAAACGUUUUUUUACAACGCGGGCCAACCGGGCGCACGCACACGGGUACAAAAUUCAAGACUCCCGUUACAUGUUAUUACAAGAGCACCCUAGGAAAGAAAAUCCUGGAGAAUAGUCUCCUAGCUAGUAGUAGCUACAUGCUACCCGAGAGCUGUGAGGCAACGCGCCCCUGCUGCACACCAGAGAAGGGCUUCUUCAGUUAUCGCCCUGGUUAGUUGCGUUGGGGUUUUUUCCGUCGCCCUAGCGAAGACUCGAUCGUUCCUUUCCUUCCAAAUCUUCCAAGAGACCAACAUGAAAGUUGAAUCAAGGCCUCUUGUCCUGAUGGUGUUGAGUCUGCUUCGCUUCUGUAUCCACCAUUCCAUCAGAGAGUCAUUCAGGGCCGGUGGGACGUUCUGAAUGCCUAUUAUUUAGCUGACGGCCAACCACACCUGUUGAGUGUAGGUGCAUCGUGCAAGGAGGUGGUCUGCCGUUUCAGGCUCCUGUCCACAGAGUGCACAAUCGUCGCUAUUCUGGAGCAAAUCGUCAUCUCGAAAGAUAAACAUUACAUAAGCAGUGGCAAAACCUACAUGCUAGGAGGAAGUGUAUUGGUAUCACAUGAGAACUGAGUGAUUACUGUUUUUGGAUAAAUAAUACUGCCUGCGGUCAUUAAAACUUGUGAUUCGAAGACAUUGCUGCGCCAACAUCUCGCUGGAUGCGCCUAUCUAGCGGUUCAGUUCUACUGCCUCCUUUCUGACUAAUGUCCUAGUGGUUGCUUCGUACUCGCAUUAUCUCGGAUCGAUAGGUUCAGAUGGACUCUACAAAGCCUUUUCAUUUCCUCCUGUCGAAGAACAGAAUCGAAUGUGUGGUGGAAGUUUUGACUUGCCUGCUAUUUCUGAUCAGUCUCUCUGUUGGCUAUUGCAUAUGUUCUAGUACUGUCUUGAUCAAAAGUGUCUACUAUUUAGUCUAGCUCUCUUAUCUGCUUGCAUGAGCUGAGUGCUUGUCACAUAUGCUCAGUACAUGCAAGUGGUGGUAGCAUGAUUACCACCAUUUGUAAUCAUGUACUGAGCAUAUGUGACAGUUGUGUCAACUCAACGGCUUGACUGCUAUCACCUGGAUUCCUCAGGACAUGGUUUGGCAUGGCCUCUGUCCCUCGUCAGAGUAAGUUCACAGAAUGGCAUGCAGGCAAUUGCUAUAAUAAACGUGUUAAGAUUUGUCAUCAAAAGUUAGAUCAGGGCAAGAAAAUGAUGCGAACUGAACCCUUGCCUCCCACCGUUGGGUGUUGGCCGAAAAAAUAGGAGACAGUGUCACAAAACAAUGCAAAAAAUAACACAAUGUCAUUACAGAAUAACUUCCCAUGACAUUCACUGCAGAACUCCUAUAACAAGUUACCUUGCCUUGCUAUGACAAAUUAUGCUCAAAACAGCACAAAUGUUUACCAACACACAUGUUUCAGGUCAGCACCAUUUUUGCCAGCUCAUGUACUGAAGAACGCAGAACACAUUCUGGAACUGAACUUGCUAUUCCUCUGUCAAAGUUCAUACAUGAAACCAAGCAACAAGCAUAGUCGGAGUAUACUCUAGCAUAUGAUAAAUAAAAUUUGCAUCCUGGUGAGAAGUAAGAUUUAAGAGUUUGUUACAACCAUAUCUUUUGGAGAAAGCUAAGACGACGUGCCGGACACAUGCCACAAUCAGUACCAGAAUUUUUCAGAGACAAACACGUGGCAACCGUUCAAUGAGUGCAUCCAACUUAGAAUAAAAUGUUCACUUCAUCUUCAUGCAAGCCGACCAAUGCAGAGAUAUAGUAAGAUGUAAGCAUGCAACCAGCCUACACAAAUUGAAUUGCACUGAACAUUCAUGACAUAUUUUUUUUCGAGAACGUGCAACGCACGUAUUUCAUUAAGAGAAGGGGAAGCGACCCAAAACGAAACACAGUACCGAAUUACAGCGAGCUGGCUAUCACCUGGGCACAAGUUUGCGACCCCACCAGCAUGCAAGAAAGAAAGAGCUAAAGAAAAAGAGUACAAGGGCGAGCAGCACCCCAUCAAAGUUCAGUCUACGUUCAUUAGCCAUUGUGAACAUUUGCGACUAGUCCGGCGUUGCACCACCAUCCCAGUUCUUCACGGAUCCUGUCAGCCAGCUGCAACGGCUGCCUUGUGGUUGUUCUGAAGAUCCUGUCAUUCAUUUCAUUCCAAAGUCGCCAGGAUGUCAGCGCGAAGAGAGAAUCCAACCUUCUUCUAGACGAUUUGUCAAUACGUUUCCUUGCCGACAGCCACCAAACAAUGGUGGUGGAUUGGGCUUCUGGGGUGAACACCUGCCAUCCCAACAUUCAUGACAUACAUUUCAGAAUAAUUAUAUAUGCAGCCCACGCGAGCAGAUCAUCACUACUUGCCAGAACACCUUGAUCAAGUGUAGUAGAAGACUUCAUCCAGGACAAAAAAAAGAGAGAAAGGGGUCGGUAAUGCAUAUAACGGAAUACUGCAGCACAAGUAUAAUCUUAUGGCAGGUUGCAAUCAGUGUCAAGUGUCAACCCACAUGAUGACUAUAUAUGUAUACAAGAAAACAGAACAAACAGAGAAGUUCUCAUGCCAUGCUGCAUUUGUGUUGAAUUUCUUUACCUAGCUGCCCCUCAUAUUAAAAUACAAUGAUCAAUUUGUGCUUAAGGCAGCAAUGCAACAUACGUAUUCCAAGUUGACACAAGUUUUGGUUUGCUCUCCAUUCAUCUUCUGGAGAAUACAGAACAUAUUCUGGGUUUGGAAUGCUUUCCCCCAAGUUCAAUUAAUAACUGAAGCAAGUUUGCACGACUUGUGCUAAAAAAUAAUGACAAGACUAGAUCCUUAUCCAUUACACCCCUGCUGAUGAUUAAGAGCUUAGUUGCUACAGAACCAGUUAAGAGAGAAGCAAGGCUUGCUUGUAUGAUAGACAUGGCAAAACCAUCACCACAAUACUCCUAUUGUUAACUGGAACUGAACUAUCACAGCCUGCAACUUAAAUCAACUUAGAUCUGAACAGGAGCACCAAGUUCAUGAUAAAAGUGUUCAGUGCAACAUCAUAUAAGCAGAACUGCAGAGAUUGAGCAAUCAUGCUGCAUUGCUGCAACCAAUCGCACAAAAAUAAUCAACUGAACAACAUGUCAUUCAUUUUGGGAGUGGAAAACACUUCAUGCAAGCGGAUCAAGAGUGCUAGCUAGUUGUGCAUGGACAUUCUGUCCUAAAUUCCAAUGCAAAACGGCAUUCGAGAUUGAAAAUCAAUGACUAAAAAAGAAGCAGGGUUUUUUUUUUACCUCCAUCGUGCAGAGGCAUUUGAAAUUCGAAAACUAAAAACUUUUUUGCCACAAUCGUAUAGAGGCAUUCCAAAUGGAGGAGGGAAAAGGCGUAAAGCCAAACAACCAGACCAUUUCACCUAUACUACUCGACUAUAAAAUAAUAGCCUCCCCACCCACCUAGCCCAUCCUCAUCUAGUCAUCUGAGUUUCUGACGCUUGCGCUUCCUUUGCUAGUAGUAGCAGCGAGUUGCCACAGCCCACAGCCGAGAGCCAACAAUGAAUCAAGCGCAGAUUGCCGCCACCAUCGCCCUCGCCGCCGGUGCCGGAACUGCAGAUGUCGAGGCUGCCGCCGUCGCUGCUGGAACCGCAGACGCUGCCGUCGUCACCCAAGCUCUUACCACCGCACGAACUUUAGCUGCUAAGCAACUUGGUAAGCUGUUGGUUCCUUCCUGAAAUGAGAUCCUGAUUUGGUUGCUCGUUCUUUCUGUUGUUCCUCUUGAUUCGGGUUUUUUUUUGCUUCUGAUCUGUUGUUCCUCUUGUUUGGGGUUUAACUACUUGUCGUUCUUUCAAAGUUCUUGACUUGGUGGGGUUUUCUUCAAAACGGUCCUGAAUCCAUUGUUUUUUGGUGAAGUUUUGUUCUUUUCUAGACCAAGUCUGUCCUCAAUCCUCUUCAGGUCGUGCUCAUGCUCAUGCUAUACCCAUGUGUGAUCGCCUUCACCUUAGCUACCCGCUACACAAAGUAUGGUCUGCUCAUACCUACCCCCAACAUGCCCGGCGCCGCCCCUCCCUCCCUUGAGCUUGCCUGUUCCCGGCAGAACUAGUGGCUGACCACUUCCCAGGAAGCCCUCUGGUUUCACCGGAAUCUUUUUCAACACCGUCACCAUGAUUCACAUCUUCUUGGUGAUUUACAUAACCCUCAAAGGCCCUCGCGAGUCGCCUAGGAUGUCGCACGCCUUCGCUUGGUUUGCCAUCAAGGAUGUCGCACACCUUCGCUUGGUUUGCCCUGAUGUCAUUCUGGUUUUGUAUCGGUGUUUACUUCUUCAUGUUCACAAUCUUAGCAAGAUGAGUUGCUGUUGCAUAUACUUUUCUCUCCAUUUUCUUGUUUUUUUAUUAGGGGUCUUUGUUUUCUCGUUAGUUUACUACUAGUGAAUAAUGAUUUGUCUAUGUAGAUAUGGAGUCGCCUGGCAGGAGUGAGUGCUUUUCGCAGCAUUCACAUUGGGGCUGUUUUUUGCCACUACAACUUUCAUCUGUGUAAGUUAUUCUUUCGUAAAAAUGUUCUCAUAUUGUGAUGAAAUUGGUUGUCAUUACCGCCUUCUCACUUCCGGAUGGUAGAACCAACCUACGAUGAAGUCCAAACUCUUAUGAUCCCGGGUGAUAGAUCCAACCUUCGAUGGAUCACAACUUAUGCACUAAGUACUUAGAAACUAUAUGGCCCAACCGGAAGACUAACACUUAUAAGAAAUAGAACUUUAUUACAACACAACAAUAUUAUACAAGAGUGCACAACACCCUCUCUUUAGUGGCUAGCCUAACAUUCAUCCUUUACUUCUACCAUACUCCACUCAUCUACCAUGCUCAUGGUUGAAUGGCAUGGUAAGGAAAGGGAUCUCUAUUUAUAGGCCAAGGGAGUUCAUAGGAUGAUGACAUGUGCCUCCUUCUAGAGUUUUCACUAGAAAAAUAUCUAUAUUCUACGCUAUUCUAAUUUCUUCAUGGCAACAACAUCUAGUGGCUUCAUGAAAAAUAUCAUGGAUCAUGAGUUGUGGGGAAGACUCUAGAAGUUUGUAUUGCUUUCCUUCAACACACCCUUUUAAAUUCAUAUAUUGUAUGACUGAUACUUGCGGUGACUGUUGGGGCUAUUUUUUGCCACUGCAAUUUUCAUAAGUUAUUCUUUCACAAAAAUGUUCUCAUAUUUCUAUGAAAUUGGUUGUUAUUACCGUCUAAUUGUCGAUUUUGGUUGAUUUCCAGGCGGCCAUUUCGCUAGCGAAGGUGGUACUUCCCGCUCCUCCUGCUUUAGUGCUCGUGGAAGGAGAAGGCCAGGCGGACUAGGCAGGAAGGUGAAGGGUGAAUAUAUGGAGCCAUGAUACUUCUGUAGUAGCUGUAGUUCCUCAGUGUUAUUGGUGAACAAGAAGGUGAAUGACAUUCUGAAUAUGUAGCAGUAGUAGAGUUGGUUGAUGUUCUUUCGAGAGUAGCAGUGGUAGAGUUGGUUCUGAAUAAGUAGCAGUAGUACUCAGAUGUAGCAGUGGAACGGUGAGGAGCAAACAAUUAAGAUUCAUACUCUGUCUCUACUUGAGUGUUUUUUGAGUAGAUCAUGCCAGUCUCUUUUUUUUUCCAAUUGUAUUUUAGUGCAUUCCAUAGUUCCAUCUGGUCUAAUGGUUCCAGUGCUUGCGUCAUAAACGGCUUGCCAUCGAACUUGACAUGACAAUAAAUAUUUACAAACACAACUCGUAUCGGAGUUGGUUAUCAUAUCCCACGGGCCAACCUUCUUCUUUAGCUAAUCUUUUCUCCAGCCCACUUUAGACCCAUACUGGUCAAGCCGCUCCAGCUCCCAAUCGGCCAAUCCUUGCUGACUCCUUUUGCCAAUCGGCCAAAACACUAUAGCUUCAAUCGGCUGAUUCCCAACUGUAGCUUUUAGCUUGCCGCAUCGGCCAAUCUUUUCCUUCCUUGACGCCGAUUCAAAAUAUGUGUCAAAAUCCGGCGUCAACAGAUGCAUUCAUACAAAUAUCCUAUACUUUUAGUCUACAGUAAUGCACUACAUAAUAUAAUGGUUUGUGCGUGCGAAAGAUUCGGUGAAGCUAAAUUUUAUAAUGCAUAAGCCUACUACUAUGUUGCUCUUAUCUCUCAGUAUAACUCAAAUACAGACUAUGCAUGGUUUGCAGUUUGAAAUGAACUGGGCAGUAAACAUUUCAAUCCCUGAAUAUGCUCUGCAUAUUUUUUUUAGAUGAUGAUGUUCUGCAUCUUUCAUUACAUGAGUCGGAAACAAGUCAUGAUAUUAAAAAAAUGUGUUGCAUUCUACUAUUUUAACAAAGCUUUUGUCAUGGUAAGGUGGUUAACUGGUUACAAAAUUUCAUGCAGAAUGACAUGGCAACUGAUUUUGUUCCUUCUGAGUUUUGGAUUAAGAGACAUACAGUAUAAUUCUCCUAUCCUUUUCUCCUUUAAUUUCAUAUGGUGUGAAUGUGACAUGUGCUUUGAGUAAAUCGUAAUCUCGAAUGCUAAAACACUAUAAGUAUAUAAACAAUCACAUAGCAUACAUGAUACUAGUGAUAAUAUUGCAUUUUUCUUGGGAGGAAGUCUACUAGUACGAUUGAGAACUGACUCUGUUGAAUGGGUGUUCGCAUCAUGUGGGUGUGACACAGUCACUGCGAAAUACUAUGAGAUUAAACCUGCGUUGCCUGCAUUAAUUUUUAGCAUAAUUACAUUAGAUGAACUCUGGACGGAAUGUAUAAGGAUCCUAUCUUGUCACUUCAGUUUCAUGGAUGAAUUGAACAGAGGAUUUGAGUGUUGGGUCCCGGAGUGCGCUCGGAGAUGAUGAGUUUUAGAAACAUGGUGCUACCCUGGAACUUAUGUGUUGGACUUGUAAGUGUUGCAUUGCGUUAUUUUGAGCGUAAUUUUUGUGAUAGCAAGACGAGUAACUUGUUAUAGAAAUUCUACGGUGAAAGGCAUGAGAAAUUGCUCUGUUUCUAAACCAUGCAGUGUGUGACUGCUCUGCGGUAUGAGAAAUUGCAAAAAUGGGCCGAGAGAAGCCCAUCAGCGGCCCCAGAAAUGAAGCUCAUUUGAGUUGGGCCCACUGUUCGGAGCGAAAAAGCAAAUCCGUUCGGGAAAUGGGAUUGGCUGGUGCCAGCCAGGCAGCCAGGCCUCGUCUCGCUCCGACCCGAAGCCGUGAAGCGCGGCUGCGCGGGUUAGUAUAAAGUGGCGCCACCGCUGGCCCCGGCUCGAUCAUUCCCGUCGUGCACACCCAACCCCACCCACCCACGGCGAAGGCGCCUAGCGAAUCGAGGGUUUCGUCGUCGAGCGAGCGAGAGCGCGCGAUGGCGGCGGCGGAGGGAGAGAAGAAGGGAGCGAUGGAGGCGGAGAAGGGAGAGAAGGAAGCGAUGGCGGCGGCGAAGGGAGCGCCGGUGGAGGAGAAGGGAAAGGGAGCGGAGGCGCCCGAGGAGGAGGGGACGGGAGAGGCGGCGGUGGAGAAGGGGAAGGCAGUGGCGGAAGCGGAGGAGGCGGCCGGCGCGAAGAUGAUCACCCUGCGGAGCGCGGACGGGGAGGAGCGUUCCAUGUCGGCGGCGGCGGCGAAGCUGUCAGUGGUCCUCAGCAACAUGAUCGAGGACGACUGCGCGUACAACGUCGUCAUCCCGCUCGAACGCUCCGCCACCGUCGCGAGGACUCUGGACACGGUGAUCGAGUACUGCGUCAAGCACGCCGACGAGCCCGUCCACGACUCCAACCCCAGCACCGCGGGCGGCAGCAGCAGCGUCGUCGUCACAGCGGUGCCCGAGGACCUGGAGGAGUGGGACCGCAAGCUCGUCGAGGGCCUCAGCGCGGACGACCUGUACGACCUCCUCCUCGCCGCCAACCACCUCAGCAUCCAGGGGCUCAUCGACGUCGUCUGCCAGAGGGCCGCCGACAUGAUCAAGGGCAAGACCACCCAGCAGAUCCGCGACACCUUCAACCUCCCCAACGACCUCACCCCGGCGGACGAGGCGAAGUUGCGCCAGCAGCGCGCCUGGGUCAUCGACUAGUAGGAUUCUUCGAACCCACUUUGUGCUCUGCUCUAGCAUCUCCCUAGAUCUGCCGGCCUAGCGUGCGGCUUCGUGUUCUACCGCGUCUUUUCUCUUGACGCGCAUCGUAGUGACUGUUUCGUGGUUAUCUUUGUGUAGAACUGUAGAUAGGUCCUGAUCAACACUCGGUCUACCACUUGCUUAGUAUUUUCGUUUCGCCUUGUCGAAGAACAGAAUGGAACGUGUGGUGGAAAUUUGAACUGCUUGCCUGAAGGAUGAAGUGAAUGAAUAUCCUAUCCCGAUUUACCUGUCAUUUUUCGAUUAAUAUCAUGAAAUUGCUAUUAGUUUCUGCCCUGAAUGUGUUCUACCACCAUCGAUCGAUUGUGUUCUACCUAUUGCUACUGAUCUUCUUGCAUGAUUGACAUGAUUCUUUUGUUGCCGAAAUGCAUGACAUGUUUUGUUCAGUUCCGUACAAUUGGAAGCAGUAUGAUAGCUCAUCCUCUGCAGUUCUGCUUUUUAUUUAGUUGUAGUGAAUAUUUUGAACUGCCUGCAUGAACUGACUGAACCAUAUUCCGUGACUUUCUCUAUGUCUGACCAAUCUGUUCGACUAUUCUUGAGUCUUGAUCGAUUUGCUUGCAUGAAUAUAUAAAAUCCUGAAAUGUGUGCAAUUGGUGGUAGACUGGUAGCAUGGCUGGUGGCUCUGCAACUGGUGCCCCAUCUCUGUAGUGAUCUGCUUGCAUGAAGAUGGAGCAAGUAUUUUACCCUGAAGUUGAUUUUGUUUUUGUCUGAUAACAUUCAGUUCAACAAUAGGAAGGUUGGUCUGUAUCUCUGUCCCUGAUAUUCUGGUACUGAUCUGGCAUGUGGGCCAUACAAGCGUGUAUUGGUUCUCUACAAUAGAUUUGAAUGCAACUAACUCUUAGCACUUGAUUACACCACGUCAUGGAUAACAAUCUUGUCUUGUUCUUAUGUUUAAGUGUAAUUCAAGUUCAGACUAUGCCUGGUUUCUGAGUAUGAAUUGAACUGGGGAAUAGCAUUCCAAUCCCUGAAUGUGUUCUGAAUCUUUCAGUACAUGAGUUGGCAACAGAUCAUAAUAUUGGAAAGUAGUGUGUGUUCCAUUGUGCUGUUUUGGCAUAAUAUUGCCAUGGUGAGGCCGGGAGGUGGAGUAGUUGGCUACAGAAAUUCCUUACAGAAUGACAUGAGAACAGAUAACUGAUUCUGUGUCUUCUCCGUUGUGGAUACUGAACAUGCAGUUUCUUAUUUCUUUCUCGGUUUUUUCCCCAUCAUCUGGUGUGAAUACACAGCUCCUUGCAGCCUGCAGGAUACUAGUGAUAGCUUUCCUAGAGAGGCAGAGCUGAUAGUGCAGAGUUGACAUGGGCUAGCGAAGUCGAGAGAGAGUGCCUAACAAGGCCUGAAAAUGAACAGCCGGCAAGGCAAGGCACAAGCACGAGCGAAGAGGAACAGCAACAGCCUCUCCCAAUUCAAGUCUCACUGAAUUAUGGCACAAUUCGAUGCACAUCACGAGAUUCACAGCAAUCCACAAACGAAAUAAUCAAAUCAUCCAACAAAUCUUCAGAGGUAGUAGUAAGAGAGCAGAGGCGCGGCCACAGCGGCUACGACGGCGAACGCUGAGACCGGCGAUCGGGCUGCCGCCGACUUCGAUGCGCCUGGGCUGCUGGCGGCAGGUGCCGAUCCAGAAGCAGGUGCAGGACCUUCAACAUGGAAGCAGAGCAGUGAGACGACGAAAGAUAAGCGAAUCACACGCACAGCUUAAAGGACAAAAGGUAAUGCAUACAAGACCCAAGUUUUUCUUCAGUUCAGAACUUGUUUCAGGCGCUAAUUUCAGAUAGCAUUCCGAAUUUGGGGAUGGAAUUUUCAGUGCACAACUGAUGACUCUCCACAUCAUUUACUGAGAUCUAAUAGGCAUGCCAGUUAAGAUGGACCUGAUGGAUACAAAAUUGGCUGACACCUGGCCCAUCUCACUCUCUCCCACACCUAUAUUUUAUUUUGGCCUAGAGACGUUAGUAAUUCAGAUUACGCGUGAGUGUCCUAUUAAUUAAGAUUUUCACUUGCAGAUGACUGUCAGCGUGCCAAGACGAAAACGCAGAGCGUUCAGGCUUCAAAAAUCUGUCUGAUCUAUCAUUGUUCAUGUUUUUUUAGAAGUUGGGACCAUUUUGCUGCCAAGAAAGCUACCACUACUGUCACCAUCUAGGCACAAUUCAGCCCUAUUUUAGGCCUAAAUUUUAACAUAUGAUUAUCCCGAUCUUUGGUGUAUAACUCUGUACUGAUAUCAAUGAACCGAAAAUUGGUAACGUAGACAGGCUAAAAAAAAAAUCAAAAUGGACGCAUCAUUUUGCAAAAACUGAAAAAUUAAAAAAAGAACAGAGUAGUAUCUGUUACCUUCAGUAGGGGCGCCGGGCACUUUGACUGCAAGAAAAUAAUAAUAAAAAUUAAACCAAAAAGCUAAGAUCUGGAAAACUAAUAAAAACCAAAAUACAAUACGCAGAGUUUCACUCAUCACAAAUUAACAUACGAAAAACAAAACUAAAACGAUUUGGCCUACACAUCUUUCUUUUGAAAAAAAUGGGCUCUUGUCUCAAGGGGGGGAAAAAGAAUAAGACGAGAUCGGGUUGUGUUAGCGCUUACUGUUGCACUUGCUGAAGGCGGCCUGGUCCUCGCCGCACGCGGCGGGCAGCGUGGCGGCGCGGGUCAUGUUGAUCGCGACGGGGUACUUCUGUUGGAAUGCGGCGCAGAGGCAGGCGACGGUGGCCGGGCUCUUGAGGGCGCCCUUGACGCCGGCGCAGCACUCCAUGGCCGGCUUGCCCUGCGAGCUCCCCUGCUGCACGUACGAGAGGCACGGGAGGAGCCCCGUCACCGCCGCCCCGCAGUCCACCGAUGACGACGGGGCCGGCGCCGGCGCCUGCGACGCCGCGCCGGACGCCAGCGCGAGGACGGCCACCGCCGCGAGCAGGCCGAGGCCGAGGCGCGCCAUGUGGUUGGUUCCUUGGUUGGUGUCGCAACUAGCGGCCGCGCGAGGAGAGGGGAGGCUGGCGCUGGCUGUGGGCUAGGGAAGUGGGAGGGAGGGAGGGGCGAUAAGCGCAUAAAUUAUCGUGCAGUUCAUUCCUAACGCAUGCUGCCAUUUGUUUGGUUAUCUUGUACAGUAGGAUCAAUCAAAUGCUAGCUGUGAGAUCUCUCUCCAGCUAGCUAAGCUAAGAUCGCUUAAUCAAAUGCAGUUCAUUCCUCUCUCUCUCUAUCUCUGCGAACUGUAUCCAUAAAACUAUUCAGUGGUCAAUGCGCCACAAGCUAGUACAAUUAGAUAUAAUAGUCCUACGAAAUAGCUUGCUGAAGGCUGGAGCUGUAUAACAGUUUGUCUUGUCAGCUGGUCGAGUUGCCAUCGGAGACCAAUCUCGUAAAUAAACACAUAACAAGUAUGCAUGUGUAGAGAGAACUGGAUGCACGUCUACCAUUUUUUCUAUGUACACCUGUUGCGAAGCUGUGUCCUGAUGGAUUCAAACGCUCUGUACGUCUACAGUUGACAUGCAUGCCUUAGGUAAUCCCAAUGCGACAUUGAUGAUAGUUUCUAUGUCUAUUAAUUACCAUGACAACUCAGCUUUUUACUUAUGUGGCAAUGAAGUUAAUGUAGAGAGAGAACACACAACUAAGAAAUGGUUUCCUUCUCAGGAAACUAAGUCUUCACGGGAAUCAACGCACCAAGAAACUAGAGAAAUGGCAUUGGGGAGAAAUCACCGGUUUCCAACGGCCUCCUCUGGAUCUAGUGCGCUUGGAACAAGGAGUCCACCAGGCACCAAGCCUCCUUUACGUGCAUAGAGGAUCUGGUGCUAGAAAAGAGAAUGGUUGGUUGGAUUUUUGUUUAGACUCUAGAUAAAAAAGUUGCAUUGUGAAGGAUGAUUUCUUAAUACAAUAUCCUAGACUAUGAAAACUACGAUGAUUUCUCUCAUUGAAACUGCCCUUAUCUGUACAGGGCCACACGGCCACACCAAAGUAUCACGCAUAGAACAAUUUCCAACGGUAUCUAUUUUCUCACUGCAAGCUCAGUCUGGAAAACGGUAGGGGAGAAAACCAAUUUGUGCGAAGUUACGCGCUUGCACAUGCAGACCGCGCUUAGAAGAAAAACGUUGAGUUAAAUUUAAAGGAAAACAGUACAAUAUUUCAUUCAAAUUUCCCGUUUACCAGGUUUAUUUUUUAUUUUUUAAUAUAUUUUGGGGGAACAAAAAAAGUAAACGCAUAAAAAAUGAUUUUUACCCUCUUCGAUCAUUUUGGAGUUUUCGUAUAAUUCAUUAAUAAUUACUAACAAUAAAAAUUCAAUUUCAUUUCCUACAUAGCCCAACGACCUACAAGGUCCAAAAAGGCACAGGCCCAAACUAGCUAGCCUGAUUGCAUGCCCUUUGUUUGUCAAUGUAAAGUCACAUUUUUGUUUGAAAACAAAUUUUGAUCAAUAGAUAGUCAAAUCGUAUGCGUCUUCAUUCUUCACUCCCUUCAGUGUACAAAAGUUGCACAAAUUGAUUAUUAUUCGAACUAAAAUGCUAAGAUGAUGUUGAUUUUGUAAAAGUUGACUUUGUAGUUAUGCUAGGCAGAAGGCAUGAAAUAAAAAACCAUGCAUAUUUGGGAAAUUUGCGUCAGAAAAGGCAGUUAACCGAACCAAAUGGAAACGUUGCUUUGUGUCAAUAUCAAGACAAAUUAUCUCUACUGCCAAAUUUCCUAAUAAGCUUGUUUCCUGAUCUCCAAGAUGGAACUCCAACGAUUAAGAUAUAUUCCAACUAGUUAAACGUUUCACUGUUCAAUCAUUAGAGUAUGCUAUAUAUAAUCGUACAUGCUACCUAGUCAAACAGCCGGCCGGAUGACCGGCUCGCUAGCUAUCUGCCGGCCAUGCUCUAGACGCGAUAACCUCAAAGUGCACAUCAAUCACAAUGGUUCUCAGCACCGCAUAUUUAACCAACAAACGUUGCCUCUGCGCUCCAAGAUGAUACGGCAGCUAGAUAGAUAAGCACCCGCAUGAUGUGCUUCAGCAUUAGGCGGCAACGACGCCUCGAGGAGCGCCGCCGGGAGGAGGAGCUGAGGAGAAAGAAGACGCCAUGCUUCCGGAUCCGGAGGAACUUUGCCGCGAACGAGAUGGCCGAGCGAGAGAGGGCAGCGAUCGCGAGGGACGCCAAGGCGGCGGAGAAGGGGAAGGAGAAGAAGAGGAGGUUACAGGAGGAGGUGAGGAAGGAGCGGGAGAAGAUGAGGAAAGAAGAGGAGGAGAAGAGGGCGCGAGCUGAGAAGAAGAAGCUCAAGGAGAAGGAGCGGAAGAAGCGCGAGGAGGAGGCGAAGAAGAGGCGCGAAAAGGAAGAUACAGAGAAGAAGAGGAAAGAGGAGUUGAAGAGAAACAAGAGGGUGAAGAGAAAAUGAAACCAAGUGCCCACCGUAGCCGUAGCUAUGUUGAAUUUGAACAUUCCUCUCUUCUUAAUUCAGUGCAUGCAUGCAUACGUAUUCAUUGAUUCAGCUUUCAAGCGUAUGCGUUGGUCAUCAGCUCUUUUCAUCGCCGGACGUUGGGGCUCGCGCGUGCGAAUUCACGAUGGCGUUCUUUUCCAACUCAGGAGCCCAUAUAUGAUGGUGCAGAGUCCUCUACGAGCUGGCGCUGGCGAGCUCCUCAUGUCAGCCGCGCAACAGUUGCAACAAGAUACGUUUCAAGCUUUCAGCGGCAAAUUCUAGCUCCAGCUAAUGCAUAUCAUAAGAUGGAUUAUAAGCAGGGGAAAAGCAAUUGUCGUUUUCAUUUUUUUACACAUGGUGGGUUGUUCAGAACGCCAAAGUCAUUUGUGUUCAGUGCAUUGCCCUUGUUGCAAGUUUUUUUUUUUCGUGAAUACGAAGGAGAGCUGCGUAUCUUUGUAUUAAGAAGAUGAUGUAAAAACUUAGUAUAACGCAGGCUGUCCGGGCGCACGCACACGGUUAACAAUUUGUUAGCUAUUACAUGAGAGAUCAACAACCGUUUAGAAUAAAAACGAAGCUCAGGAUGACACUAUCCCGUUCCCUGAAUUUCUGCUGGUGCCGGCCAGCCGAGGGUGGCAAGAUGUUUGGCGCCAGCUGCUGACCAAAGAAUGGCUUCCUCGAUGAUCUGUUGUAACAGCUGCGCUGGCUGCAUAGGAGGCGCUCUGCUAAACACCCUGUUGUUGCGCUCUUUCCAAAUCUUCCAGGAUAUAAGCAUUAAGCUGGAGUCAAGUCCUUUCCUCCGUGUAGCGUUUAGGCCGUGUCUCAUCUGAAGCCACCAUUCAGUUAAACUCGUGUCUCGAUUUGGCGCCGGACUGGGAAUGUGCAGGAUGGAACUGACAAGGUACCAUAGCUGUUGUGUGUACGAGCAACGGGCGAACAGGUGGUCAGCGUCUUCUAAUUCCUGAUCACAUAAGGCGCGUGCAGUGCUGUCCUGUAAACCACGGCGAUGGCGUCUGGCAGCUGUCCACAGGCGAUCUCUGCAGGCUAGCCACAUGAAGAAGCGUACCUUCAUUGGCGCCCAGGCUUUCCAGAUCAACUUACCUGCAGGAGAGGUUUGUGAUCCAAUGAAGAAUGCUCUGUACGCAGAUCUUGCCGAAUAAACACCCGAGGGCUCCCAUCUCCAGGUGAUAACAUCCUCUAAACCAGGCCUUAACCGAAUAUGCUGCAGUUCGUGCCAAAGGUGCACAUACUGAUGGAUGGCCGGCACUGUUAACUAUCCGACAACGUCCGAAAUCCAUUUCUUAUCCUGCAUAGCUUCAGCCACCGAGCGUCUGUUUCUGAGUCUAGGCUUGACGAGGUUGCAAACAUCAGGGGCGAUGGAGCAUGGCGAUGAAUCACCAUUCCAUCUGUCAAUCCAGAAUAAGGCAAGGUUACCAUCCCCCAGCUGCACCUGGAUCGACUUGUUGCAAGUUUUGUAUGCCUGCUCAAACGUGGUGUCCUGCAUUUCUACUGCAAGCCAGUGGAAGUUUCAGUACGUGUACUACUAUAUGACUUACCGCUUACGGAUUGACUAUGCUCUUGGAUGAGAACUGUUUCAGAUUUGAGAAUCCACAGCCAGCUCGUAGCCUCCUACCCUUGGCUGUUGCAGAGUUUUUCGCUGGUUGCCUGAACAGUCGAACGAUAUAUGCUGAUGUAGUGCUAGAAACGAACUAGGAGCAAGAUCGACACGCGUGUUCUGAGGUUUAUGAUUUUUUUUUAUCUUUUUACUGUCUAACAUUUCAGUGGCCUAAUGUCCCAUGAAAACAAAAAUCUGGCUUUGAAAUUUUUGGAGCACGCAAACGCAAGGCAAAAAACAUAUCAACAGUAACCCGAGAGAAACAGAGAGAGAACCUUUCAUGGAGGAGAGAGCGCUCCUGACUUUGAGCUCGCAUCCCUCGCAGUCCAUCCUGACCUUGAGCUCCACCGUCUGCAGCUGCUUCCUCCUCGUCAUCUUGUCGUGGCCAUGGCCUCCGCUGCCUCCCAGCAGCCCCGACAGGUACUCCAAGGUGCCCCCCAUGGGAACUCAUAGGAACUCACUCUGCAACUCUGCAAGAGCAAGGCACACACCACUACCAGCAAGAAGCUCGAUCUCAAGAAUCAAGUCAAGAACUGCAGAGCACGCGCGCGCGCCAAGAACUGCAGAGCACGCGCGCGCGCGCGCGCACACACACACACACACACACAGAGAGAGAGAGAGAGAGAGAGAGAGAGAGAGAGAGAGAGAGAGAGAGAGAGAGAGAGAGAGAGAGAGCCCUUGGAAGCUACUGUCUAUCCCUAUGGCCUCUGCCUGUCACUGAUCUGUCUGAGCUGCUCAGCUGCAUGCCAACCCUACUAGCUGUGUGCAGGCAGGGCACUCUCUCCUGUCCAACAGGCCUUUAGGAAAAGCAGAUGGGCAGGGGCAAAUGCAGAAAGCUACCAAGAAACACGCACCAAGGGAACGUUCGUUGUUGGGUCAGGCCGGUGAUCUCUGGACCACGCCCCGCAUUGUAAAAUCGGUCAUUCAGGUGUUUUUUUUCCUUUUCCUUUUGAAAUGAACAGCGUUCAGGUGAGGGGGAGCAACCAUCCAAACAAGAAAUGCACUCUUUGGUAAGUGUCACACACAUAUGCUGCGAAUCAAAUACCUGCACAACGGCUGUUACUUGGAUCAGUUAAAACGGCGAGCGAUCAAAUUCCGACAAGCUGAAUGAACAUCUGGCCUAGGUAGGGGACGCCAACCAACCGUGAUGGCGACACAAGCUAAGAUCAUCGUGCCCACCAAGAGAUCUCUCGCAUUGCAAUUGUCGUUGGGCUUGGACGUUGGACCCCCCAACAAUACAUGGUGGAAUUUUACAUCAGCGGUAGGAAUUAUUAGAAGAAACCGCUGCCAUCACGACGCACCAAAAGAAAAACAAUCUGUGGGAAAUUAACGGUGGCUGAUUCAGUGAAGGAAGAGGAGCUGAGUAGGAACAGAAAGAGGAUGGACUGGUGUGCAUAUAUUUUCUUGAGGCGAAAGAUGAUCGAAUCUUAAUCGAUUUUAACUCCUACUUAUAUCCGGCGGUCAAAGGAGGAAGGUAACCAGGUAAGGCAAAUUCUCCAUGAUUUUGCAAGUGUUUUAUUCAAAUUUAUACGAUUUAUUAGUUCAUGUCUCUUUACUUCGCAGAUGAUUCAUAAAUUGAGCAUGGCAGAACCAUGCCUGUUUGACGGUGGCUGACUUGGUCAGACAACUGUUGUGUCAAUUUUCAAGUGUUGUUAACUGAUGAUGCCAGUUCUUAUACAUAAAACGAAGUAUUCUUUGGCUAUAAAAUUUGUUUCAAAUGAAAACAUCAGAAAAACAAAUGCAAAACAUAAGUUCCGUUCAGGAAAAAGUGUAUGAAAACAUCACUUCUGUUCGAAAAAGAGCGAACGCAUGGGCAGAAAUAUUCGAAUCCCAUCUUCGGUAAAGUAGGUACAAGCAAAAUCAAUCAGCCAGCAUUGACCUCAGUAGUCGAAAAUUUCUAGUGGUCACGGAACCACUAAUGGUGAUCAUCAAUACGUUGGAGAUGUCUGUGUGCCCACUGUCCAGUGCUCAUCAACAGCUGAACAGCAAUUGCAGUUGUUGCAACUUGAAAGCUCCAUCGAAGUACAAGUACAAAACAACAUUACAAGCAACUACAUCACGAAGUCGAUACCAUAAACUGUCAGGUAUGUCAUAGUCAACCUCCAACAAGAAGGCCACCAGAGGUAAAUAACGAUGAAACGCUAUUCCACGGCAAAAACACAGCAUUAAUCAAACAGCAACGCUAUUUUUAACAGUCCUCAGCCAGAAGAGUUAACAUAUAACAAAAGAUUGGCUUGCAACAUUGCAUUCCUAUGGCCUAUGGCUUUCAGAAGCACUUAAUUGAUCAACAAUACUAUGCUUGAAGUACUACUAUAUCCACACAUGGUUACACUGGUAAAUAAGGAACUGACAAGUUUGUACCAGAGGUGAAUCCUCAGAGUUUCAAAGGCAAGCUAUACGGUCAGUGUCAUAGAUCACAGCUGCUAGUGCACGUUACAAACCACUCAAAACUUUCUUUUCUUGUGAACAGGCAAAAUGUCCGUGUCAUUGAAUUAAGAGAGAACACGGUGCCGCGGCGCACCUAGGGCAGCUCAUGCUAGGCGGGGUACAGACAUGAAAACUUGCAACGAAACAUAUCAAAGCCUACUACAGAAGAUAACAACAAAUUAAAUGAUGCAAAAUAGGCCAGUUUUCCCCCUACUUCCAAGAAUUGACUUCUAUAAAUUCUACAUUACAGUUGAGAACUGGCAGAUCAAAUAUGGCUGCGGAGAUGAUUGCUGAUAUUCACGCACCAAAUCUACCUUCAGCAUGUGAUGUUUUCUAGCUUAUAAAGCAUGCAGUGAGAAUUUACAAGCGAUACCACAUGAUUUAACUUUUCCAUUUUAUUCACAAAAUACAUAUACCAAGAGUUUUAUUUGCAUAAAUAUUACUCAUGCAACCAAUUGAAUCAAAUACAUAGACGCCUACAACUCUCAUCAAGGGAAAUUAAAACAACUUGGAAAAUGUGUUUGGUUAGCCAUUUCCCAACUACAAAAAGAAUCACCUCAGCAAUUGAUUUUGAACAAGAACCUUGCAGGCCAGUAUUCUAUAAUUCUGUCAUAAACCAUCCAGGAAUAAUCAUCAUGUGAUUAAACAAAAGCGAACCAUGAAAGGUCAGUACCGUCACACAGCAGCACCUUCAUCAAUUACUACAGCACCAUAAUGAUCAAUGUCUCCAUUCUCACCUUUACCAAAUACAAAACCUUCAUGUAAUCUUUGGACAGAAUUUUUCAAAAACUGUUAUGAAACUAUAAACUUCUGGUGCACCCAUGGUAUCAGAUAUCUUCAACUCAAUGCACCAGUUGUAUGUCAUAAAGAUGACUUCAUUCUUUAUACCUUCAACCCCAAAGGGCCAAACAAAGUCAGCGAACCAGACCACGUCACAGAUGCCAAAGAACAAUUGAACAUGUGAAUGUCGAAAAUCACAAUUCAUUUCAAGCUAACCUUUGAACAACUGUUUUCAUCAUCAGGCUAACCUUAAACAAUCGUUUUCAAACAACACAUGAAAUGGACGGAACCUAUGACGGGUACCUGACAGAACAUAAGCUUUACCUUUAAUAAUACAAUCACAAAUAGUGUCAUGGACCAAAACAAAGAGAAUGGAGGCAUUUCACUUGAGCACCACUCGAAAUGAACAAAUAAUUCAAACUAGCAUAUUCUAGUCACCUUAUACAGUAACACCAACAACAACUACACAAGGCUGGCUGUUCAAACCAAUCCAGGCUAGUAAUAUAAAGCAUAGUGCAGGAAGAACUUAUGGUGUGAUUCCGGAAAAAUCUAUCACUCAUAUCAGUGAUUAAGCUUGAGGUUGGACAAAAGCUACAAGAACGCAAUACCCCUGCCCGACCGCUGCAAUCCCAUCAAAUUCCAAUUCGAAACAAAUAAGGCGCACGCGUACGUUGCAUCGUCUAAGAACACUAGGAACAAAAGAGGGGACACCUUGGUGGGAUCACUCGAGUGAUACGGCGGCGCCGGCGGCCUUGAGCUUGGCCGCGAGCGCCUCGGCCUCCUCCUUGGGCAACCCCGUGCGAACCACGACGGGCGCCUUCUCCACCAGCUCCUUCGCCUCCUUCAGACCCAGGUCCGUCACCGCGCGCACCUCCUUGAUGAUCUUGAUCUUCGCCGCGGCCUCGUACUUCUCGAUCUUCACGUCGAACGCCGUCUUCACCGCCGCGGCGGCCUCCUCGGCUCCCGCGGAAGCGUCCCCGGCCCCGGCCGGAGAGGCGGAGCUUGAGGCGCAGGAGUGCGGCGUAGUCGUCCAGCUCGGCUGGGGAGAGGGCGAGGAGCUUGUCCGCGAUCCGCGACAGCUUAGGGUGCUCGCCGGCGGCGGAGGCGGGGGACCAGUUGUGCCAAUUUGGAGAAGAAGAGUGGCAUUUUGGUAAUUACUGGGAAUCACGUGGGGGGUUGUUUACCGUCCGGGGAACGUUGUGCAAACCAUCUACCCUAUACAAUGUUGGAAACUAUGAAUCAAGAUCACAAGAUGCUAAUCCAAUGAAUAGGAUUAGAAGUAAGAUUAUUUUGCGCUUAAACCUCCCACCCACCAGCCAACCAAUACCCUGCAGCCAGGUGUCUGUUUCCCCUAACCCCUUCACCCCUAACCCCCUUGCCCCUUGCCCCAUCGCGAGUAGCCCGCCGCUGCUCUUGAGAAUCGCGUAAUCCAUCACCGUCCGUCCGUCCUUGGUGCGUCGCCGUCCUAGUGUGCUCGCCGCCGCCCCGCCGCCCGUGGCCCUCCGCUUCCCUGGUGAGGGCGCCGCCGCCCACUGCCCACCUUUUACUCACGAUGGAAGGGCAGGGAAAAUGGAUGCUUGGCUGCACGGGGUAUUGGAAAUAGUGGCCGGCGGGUGGGGGAGCUUAAGCGCAAAAUAAUCUUAUCUCUAAACCUAUCUAUUGGAUUAGCAUCUUGUGGCUUUAAUUUAUAGUUUUCAAGGUUGCACAGGGUAGAUGGUUUAUACCAGAUACAUUCCGUUUCGAGCCCGUGUGGAAGACGGGGCUUAUAGGAGGACAAGAGAUGCCAAGUUUCAAAUACGCUUACUAACAGUGAAAGCGUAUUCCAUUUUGCCCGUCACGGCCGGAGGCGUUCACACUGAUGCGCAUGCGUGCUCCCCACUUGUCAGUGGGUAACCCCUUGCCGCUUGGGCUUGCCUGUUCUCCAUUUCCAAUGACCCCCCCACCGCCACUAGCUUUCUGAUUACUGGGCGCCACACCCGGUGCAAGCGCAAACAGCACGCCUUCUGUUCUUGCUGUCGCUCUCCCCCGGGGCAAAGCAUAAACCUCAGUGGCCUCGUAGAAAUCGAAAUCGGAAUCGGAAUCCGACGCGAGUGGUCGCGCGGAUUCACGAGAGCGCGACGGCUCGAUUAUUCUCUCGCAGUCCCCGAUCCCCCAUCCUCGUUGCUGUUUUUUUUGCUUUUGGGAUUUUUCCGGAAUUUUUUCGGUGUUUUUUUGGUUGUUUCGUUUCAGAAUUUUUUUGUGAGCAUGAAACCGGUAGCCCUCCUUGUUAUCAACAGCCAUUUGAGAAGUUGAAAUCUUAUGUUCUUGGGUUGUAGAGAUUAUUUACUAUAACGCAUUCCAAAAAAAUUCUGAUAUUGGCUCAGAACUAGUGAAACUUAAGUUCAGUAUUGUUUCAGGUACAUGCUACAUUUCAUCAAUAUUGCAGUUCAUAUCCUAUCUGCACCUGCUCUUCAUGUAUCAGGCUUUAAGGUAAGAUCCAAUUCACUGCCUGAAUCCUGCAUUGGAGUAAUUGCAAUACCAGAUUAGGAAACAUCAAUUGCUUAGUCCUGUCAGUUUAAUAGCACGUAUCUUCACCUGUCCUUUUUAUGUAAAUAGUGUGCAUGUGUAUUCUGCAAGUUGUACAGGUUUAGAUGUGUUGUGCAUGAGUAGCACCUUGAAGGCUACCAAGUUGGUUCAUUGGCUAACAUAUUUGUAACGUGAUGUAUUAGGGUUCAUGCUCACAAAUUUGGCAGCGAAGUUCUUACUGGAGUACACGACAGUCCCAGAGGUAUUGUAUCUAGUAAAAGCAGCAGCUCUCUAUCGUGAACAUAUAAGACCUUUACUAACAUGACAUUUUUCCUUCUUUUCAGCAAAGUUUACCCACUUUUCAUACCUAGGAAAAAUGUAUGCACAGGUGGUGAGGAAAGUUCAUUGACAGAAAGUGGCUCGGCUAACUUUGGUGUCGACUCUAUCGAUUCUGUCAAGAAACACUCUUUUGAUUCGAAGAGAAGCAAUAGCUUCAACUUUUCUGGUGCAUCUUCCCACUCCAUGGAAAGGCAUCAAUAUUUGCAAAGAGGAAUAUCACUAUUAAAGACAAGUGUUACUGCCAUUACUACCUACUAUUAUAACUCACUGGGCUUGGAUGUGCCAUCCAAUCUAUCUACUUUUGAGGCGUUUGCAAAGUUGCUCCAUAUGUUAUCGUCGUCAAAGGCCCUUCGAGCUGCUCUAGAAUCGAACAUUGCUUCAAGGUAGCGUAUGCUGUUUCAUAGUAAUGCAUUCUGUGAUCCCAUAUCCUUGGUUGUCGAAAGGGGGUAAAAAAACUAUGUCUGCUGCUUCCAGGUCAGAGAAGCAAGCACAGCAGCUAAACAAAUCUAUUUGGAAGGCAAGCUCGGCCAUAUCAUCUGACAGCAGUUUUAUGGACAGCAUUCACACAACCAUCAUGGUAAAUUCCUGGUUUGCUCUUACCGUCUUACGUACAUUUUUGCAUGUAAACUUCAAUUUGAUUUUGAUAGUAUCUGUCUUCUUACCAGCCAAGCACUCUGGAUAACCUCCUUCUGAACUCAAAUAAGAGCUUCUUGUACACCAGUAAGCUGGUGAAGCACGGUGGCGUGCCAGACAACAUCUUGGAUGAGGUCCUACCGCCACCGCCCUCGGAGGUUGAAAAUGUCGCGCAGUGGGAAAGAGCCAUGUAUGCUGAUGGUGGUACCAAAAAGAAAUGACUUAUAUUUACAACUCUCUGAAGACCAAACUGAUACAACACUGCAAGAGCUUCAGUUAGAUAUGUGCACCUGACCAGGUUCGGGUUCAGUACUGAACGAAGCUCACCGUGUGGCUGAGUCAUCCACACUGUAGACUGCAGAAGGGCAUUUUAGGAUAGGGUUGAUCUGCUGAAUAUGUACAUGUUCAUCCCUGUAAAUUGUAAAUAUAAGUUUAUAUCGUUUAUUACAAAGGUAAUAAAAUGCCUGAUUGUUGGUUGAUAUUUCUUCCUGCAAGUGAAAAGCAAUUCUUUUACAUAUGCUGCAAGAAUGCAUCGGUGCAACCAACACAUGAACAGAAAAGAAGUGAAAUUCAGUAACAUUUUGUGGAGGCCAGUAAAGCACCAAUUGCUUAUGCACUGCAAAGAGCGGAUCACAAAUAUUAUUUUUCCUUGAAGAUUUAUGUAUUCCUUUGUCUUAUAGCACAACCCAGUAUUUAGCCGAUUCUCCAUGCAUAAAUAUGUGGCAUUGCAAAUGAAUUUUCUUAUCCUGAGCUGCAGUUGUAUAGUUUGUGUGUAUAUCUAGCGCCGCAGUGGUAGUGCAUCAGAGUUUCUCGCCUUGUGGUGGAUUAAUGAUCAGAUUCUUCCAUUCAUGUUUUAACCUACAUAAAUACUUUAAGUAUCUUGUUAAAGCCUACUGCCUGGAGAAUAUGCACUAGUAUAUAAACUGAAGGCUAAUCAAAAUACUCCUGGCAAGUGAAGUCUGUGGCUAGCUGUGGUUUACCGACAGCUAAACCAAUCAAUUAGGGGCAGGAAUUAGUGUCAUAGGAAUAUAGGUGCAGCUACCUUUUUGUGGAUUGAUGCUAUUUCUCACACAGUAAGUGAAUAAAAAAUAUCUUCGUUUAUUCCAUCUGAUUAUGCCAUUCCAUUACAGUUUAUGAUGGCAAGGGAACCCUUGAGGAAGGGGAAACUGCUGAAGCCCGGUUCAUCAAAAUCCAAGCAGCAUAUGAGCUGUUGAUUGAUGAUGAAAGGAGAAGAGCAUAUGAUAGAGAGCAUCAUGUGAAUCCAAUGAAGGUCUGAAUUUCCUUGCCUCACUUAUUUAUCCUUUCAUUACAUGCUCCUAUCAUUUCGUGUUCGAGAAAAUUUUUCUUUGUGUUCGAGAAGAAAAUAUACCAUGUUGUUUGAAAGUGGCAUUCCUGCUGUUCUGAAAACCGUUCUCUCUUUGAACCAGGCUUCUCAAGCAUGGAUGGAGUGGGUAAUGAAGAAGCGAAAAGCUUUCGACCAACGUGGUGACAUGGCUGUGGCUGCCUGGGCUGAGCAGCAGCAACGCGAAAUGACACUACGAGCACGGCCUCUUACGCUCAAAGGUGAGCACGGCCGCUGUUUCUGCUCGUCUGCUCCUGUGCGAUACUAGUUAUGCUUUGCAUGCCAUACGAUAAUUGCUUGAUCCCUAGCAUUUUUUUUAGAACGUUGACUAGUUCUUGGCACUUGCAAUUGCUUGAUCCUUAGGAAUUUUUUAGAACAUCGAUGAGUUCUCAAGCAUCACAAGAUCGCAGAAGUCCCAGUCUUUACGCACCCAAGGUAAAACAAAAGCAGCAAUGUGAUGCUUGUCGACGGGCCAUGGGGGUGCCGUCGUAGUCGAACCACAAGGAACAACGAUCUGCUUCCCCUCGCGGCGAGCACCGACCCGGGUUCGUCUGGCAGAGGUAGCGGCCAUCGAUUUCAGACCGAGACACAUAUCCCUUCUCAGAUACUAGUAGCUUUCCGUUUUUGGAUGUACGGCUCCGCGGGCACGCAACCCUCGGCUGUUGUUUUCUCUUUCCGCGCAUUUUCUUUACCACGCGCCAUGAGCUUCGUCCAGCGUCCCAUAGACCUAUUUUCUUUAUUUUUGUUGAAUUCUCUUUUGCUGGCAAAUCAUUUGGGGGUUGGGUGAGGGGGAGUAAAAUUGGGUGGUAAAAGCUAGUUUCAACAGGAAAAUAUAUAUACUUAUAUACAAAAAUUACUCAGAAAAGCAUUCAAGCUAACAAAAAAUGUAUAUCCAAGUUGUUAUAUAUAACUUUGAACCUCCUUUCUCUUUCAUAAAAUACUGAUCUCAAUUCUUGCUCGACCUGGGCAUAGGCACCUGUCAUUUCAAAUUCGCCCUGCAAAUUACGUCAGUAGGCAGUAGUUGUAUAUAAUAUAUGAAAAAAUAGUCAUGUAAAGUUAUAUCCCUAAGUUUGACAUACCCAAUAACUUAUGCACAUAAAUAUAGAUAAAAAAAUCACUUGCCUCACUUAAUGAAAUAAUCAAAAUUUAUCCCAUACCUUAUGCACAAAAUAUAUAAAACAAUUCUCUCAAUUUAACUUAUUGACGUGAACAGAAUUUAUCUACAUAACUUAUGCACACAAAAAAUAUGCAAUAAUCUCUCGACAUAACUUGUUGAUAUGAGCAAAAUUUAUCUGCCUAUCUUAUGCAAAAAAAAAUAUGUGUAAUAAUCUUUAAGCCUAACUUUUUAACAUGAUAAAAAUAUGUCAAAAAUGUUGUGAAAACAACCAUUCUUACGCAAACUUAUCAACAUGACUAAUAAUUUAUAUGUAUUACUUAUACGCAAAAAAAUAUAAAAUUAUCUAUUUCCAUAACUUGUCGACAUAUACAAAAUUAUGAGCACGACUUAUGCGCAAAAAUAUGUAUAUCCAAUAGUUUUAUCUCAUCCUUAUUGAUAUGGUGCAAUUUGUCCACAUAAUUUAUCACAAAAAGUUAUAUGCAAUUAUUUAACAACAUAAAACAAAAUCUUGAGGCCAAAACUUACCUAAAUUGCUAUGAAACAAUGUUAUUAUGUUACUGACGCAGCUUAUGUAUAGGGUUUAGGGUGCACACGACGAAAUCGCUUUUGCCAAAUUCAGUUUGCAAAGUGCUCCCCUGAAGCACAUGGCCCGUCCAGGCGUCCAGCCGUGCACCCGCUUCCAGCGAUGCGGCACCCCCUUGAGCCCACGCGGCCUGCGAGUUCUGCCGCGUGCGAUGCGCACACAGCACAAAUGUCUAGUCCGCAGUCCCACAUCCAUCCCCGGAAAUCCCACGGCGGCAGCCCGCAGCCCCGCCGCGCACGCGCUCGGUGCUUCACACCACCGACAUCUCCCCGCAGCUGGAUUGGAUUACAUGCAUGCCACUGCCAGCACGAGACCGCCGCUGCUACCUCCCACCGCGAUCCCCGCCCCCGCGCGUCGCUGACCACUGACCCCACCCCCACCUGGUUCCACGCGCUAUUGACCUAUGUGCGUGCGGGUGGACGCGCCUUAUUUUUAGGAGCGAGUGCCCACCGAAAACAGGCCAUGGCACCGGCACGGCAGAUCCUUUCUCCAUCCGCUGGUGAAACUGAAAGGAAUCCCCUCACGCCCCCUUCGCCAUCUAUAGCUCAAGCCCCACCUCCCGAUCUCCGGUCCCCCGCCCAUUAACGGCCCGGCACACCCACGCCCGUUCCAUCUCCGCCCCCAUCCCAUUCCACCCCACCCCACCUCCCGCGCCCAUCAUGUCACCAGCGCCGCUGCUGCCGUUGGCGGGGGAGCCAUUCCGCGUGUUCGUGGGGUACAACCCGCGGUGUUCAUGCAAAGAUCAACACAAGAACUGGGAGAAGUGCUGCAAAGGGAUCACCAACCUUUCAGUGCAGAGCGUCGACUUUCGUUGACGCCAGCGUCCGGCUUGAGCUUGACGAGAACCCUGAGGCGAUCAUCUCAGGCGAGUGGCCUGAGAACUCCUUC
rnacentral:lncRNA from 1 species